rnacentral:lncRNA from 1 species
UUUCAGCUCUCUUUACAAAACUAUUAUUCUUUAAGUAAGUUGUGAUUUGAUAAUAAGAAAGUAUGGCGGAGGAGUACAACAAGAGCCAAGAACACGAGUACGAGAGGAAGACUGGGGAUUACGAGGAAGGAUCUGGUGCAGGCGAGACCAAGGAUCGCGGGUUGUUUGAUUUCUUGGGGAAGAAAGCGGAGGACAAGCCAACUUCUUAUCAGCAUGAGGAGAAGCCAGCUUCUUAUCAGGAGGAGGAGGUGAUCGUCACUGAGUUUGAUGAGAAAGCCAAGAUCUCCGAUCAUCAUGAGGCACUGGCUCCUGAUCAGUACACAUCAUCAUACAGCAAAGUAGAAGAGGACAAGGAGAAGAAGCACGAGAAUCUCUUGCAGAAGUUUCACCGAUCUAACAGCAGCUCUAGCUCUGUAAGUAUUCGUAUUUGGAAAUUAUUUUUAAAAAUUAUUAUUAGCACUUCAAAAAAUUUAUUCUACCUUCUAAACUUUCUAUCUUUCUAUAUUAGGAAAGAAAAUUAUAUUUGUGAGAGUGUUGAAAGAAAUUGUUAAGAGUGCCAAUAGCAUUUCUUUUUUUUAUUUAUUCUUAUUACAAACGAUUUGCUUUUAGGGACGGUUUGAUAUAGGCGCCUUAUUUUUGAAUUUUAUAGACUCAACAUCUAUGUCUUUUAGACAUUUGAUUAAACUCUUCUUCUCAUCAUUUUGUUGCCACAUAUAUUAUAAUUAAUCAUUUUUAUACCAAAAUUACAUGACCUGCCACUACUCUAUAUUUCUUAAUCUCACGCCAAAAAAGUGCACAGUAUUGAACCAAACUUCCUACUAUCUAGCAUUUUGAUUAACUUCUCCCCCUUUGGAGAUAAUUGUAAACAAAAAAACCCUAGUUAAAUACAAUUUAUUUUCACAAUACUUACUACAAUUUAGCAAUGAUUAUCUACGAUUUAAUAUUUUAUUCCCAAAAUGGUUGAAAAUAUUUUUAAAUCUCACGAAAUCAAAUGUACCAAUAUAAUUUUUUAUAUCAAUACAUUAAGAGAAAAUAGGACUAAUAACAAUAUAAACGUACCAAUAAAUAAAGUGUAUGAAAUCAAACGUACCAAAAUCAAAAGUAAUGUAUCAAUAUCAACAAUAUGUACCAAAACUGCAAAUAAAUGUACCAAUCAAUGUUUUUUACAAAUUAAAACGUACCUAACGGCAGUAUACACAUAAUAUGUUGUACCUAAUAAUAGUUGCUCAACAACUAUAAGUAAAAAAUAAAAAUAAAAAAUAAAAAACAAAGAAAAAUAGUUUGACAAAAAAAAGGGGAAAUAUUACACAGUGCUUUGUUGGAUCGCCAACCAUUUGGAAAAAAAAAUCAAUAAAACGAACCAUUUGACAAAAAUAGAUAAUAUUAAUGUUUGUAGAACAAAAAAAAAUAUUUUGAUCGAAAUAUUAUAAUUGGAAAAAGGGAUAAUAGAGUUAAUAACUAAUACUCCACUAAAUAAGGGGAAAAACGCAUUAAAAACUUAAGAGGAUAAAUAUAGAAUUAAUAAUUAACAUUUUAUUUUAAGAAAAUACAAUAAUGAUAUGUAAUUUAAUUUAACAGAAAAUUGUGAGGUGUCUAUUGGUCAAAGCACUUUAAUCAAAUUUUAAAAAGACACAAAUGUUUAAUUUAAAAGAUAUAAAAAAGUUGUAGGGGUUCUAAUUUUCCCUUGCUUUUAAGCUAAUUAAAAGGAGAGCAUGUAUUGUAUUAUACAUAUUUUUGGCAAGAUUUCUUAACCCAAAAAAGAAGGAAUCCGGAUCUCGCUGGAUCCUCUUUGUUAGGAGCUCAAGGAUCUGAAUCAUGUUCGUUAAUGAUCAGAAAUUAUUUUAAAUAUUUUACUUAAAAUUGAAUAUAAACAAUCCGACAAAAAUAUCAUAAACAAAUAUAAUUUACGAAUUUUUAGAAUUCUCAUCAUAAAAUCCGGAGAGAUCCUGUUGGGAUUUUAUAGAUCAAGGUUUUUCUGCAUAUUCCACGUGUAAUCACGUAGUGUUUACGUUGAUUAUAUAUUUGACAUAACAUUUAGAAUAAUUAUAAGAAGAUUAAAUUUAUAAAUUAAAUUAACAAAUCUGUCACUAAAAAAAAAAUAAGAACGUUUAUUAAUAAUUAAGUAAUAAUUUAAUUACAAAAUUUUAUAUAUUUAGUUUACAAAAUUUAAUCAACAAAUUUAAUUUUUCUAGCAUUACUCACAUUUAUUCUUGUUCUUAAUUUCCAUAACUUAAAUGUCUAAACUUUAUGAAAUCUCUGAACAUUCGCAGUCAAGCGAUGAGGAGGAAGAUGAAGAGAAGAAGAAGCAGAGGAAAGAAAAGAAGGGAUUGAAGGAUAAGAUCAAGGAGAAGAUCUCCGGUGAUGAUCACAAGGAAGAAGGCUAUCACAAAGAGGACACGGCUGUCCCAGUGGAGAAAGUGUACGAGGAGGAACAUCAUCAUCAAGCUCCAGCUCCGGUUGUCCAUCACCACGAAGAGCCCACUGACUACCCAACUGAGGAAAAGAAGGGUUUCCUCGAAAAGAUCAAGGAAAAGCUUCCUGGCCACAAGAAGACUGAGGAGGUUCCAGUUGGUGCUGCUUCGUACGAACAGCAGAGUCACGAUCAUCAUGCCACGGAGCCACCGGUGGUAGCCUCUUAUGAAGCUGGCGAAGAGCCCAAGGAAAAGAAGGGUAUUAUGGAGAAGAUAAAGGAAAAGCUUCCUGGGUACCAUUCCAAGACCGAGGAAGAUCACAAGGACAUCAAGGAGAAAGAGAAGGAUACUCCUUCCUAUUAAUUAAGGGAUUAAGAAAAAAAACAACAUAUAUAAUCUUGUUUUGUGUUCGGAAAUAAUGGUUAUGGGGGUGUCAUUUGUGGUUUGUUAAUUUCCUCCUCCCUGUGAUGGGUGGUUUAUUUGCCAUGUUCUCUUGAGAGUAUAUUGGGCAUAUAUACAAGUUUGUUUAGGGUUUCCGUUAUAGGGUUCUCUUUGGUUUCGGAGGACCUUGAGUUUCUUUUGUAUGUUAUCUAAACAUUAUUGUUGUUAAUAAGAUAUUUGUUCUUCCUUUGUAUUCCCUUCGUGUGGUCUCUGUAUAUAUACACACAUGCUUUGCAUAUUUAUGAACCGGAUUAUAUGUUGAAUGGUUCUUUGUAAAUUUGUUUUAUGGCACUAUUGAAGAAGCAAAUGAAGUAAUGUAAGAAAAUGCUCAAGGAAUAAUCAUUUCCUUAAUUAAUCAGGACGAUCACUUGGAUCUAUGUACCAUAUAGUGUUGUACAUGCGUGAAAGUGAAGAGUAACAUGGAGGUGGGAGUGAUAAGUGGAGUAACAUGAUGUCAAAAUGCGCAGAGGUGCAAAAGGAGGGAGGCUUGGUUGGUCAAGAUAGGAAUAUCAAACAUAUCUCUUAAUUUAAACUUGUAAUAUUAUAAGUCUAUAUACAUUAUACAGCAACAAAAGUAGUAGCAUAGCUUAAUUUCUAAUUUUGCCUCUCUUUUCUUAUCGUGAGUUUGUUCUAAUAUGUAAAGACAAAUGUUAACACAAAAUGUGGAAGGGUUCUUUGAAUCAAUUAAUUCAAUAAUAUUGUUACAACAUUUACAUUGUCAUCUUGUUGUAUUUACUUGGAUCUCACCUGCUUGCUUCUUUAUACCUACAUUAUUUCAAUUGGACCCAUAAUAUCAAAAGAUGAUGUCCGUUGGGAAAAUGAUGGAUCGUGCUUGCACCACUCAUCUUAUUAUCGAUCGUCCGUUUCUUACAACUCAUGAGCUGAUGCUUCAUAUUAUUACAACCUAAUAAUAUAACAUAUAUUAUUUUCAAUCAACAUCUUUUCAUAUAUAGUUCAAGAGCUUAGGAAGCCGCCAAAUCCGAAUCCUAUUAAGAAUCAGAACUUGACGACGGGUACCCAAUUCCAUGGCGUUUAUUAGCUAUAUUUACCACUUUGAGUCUUGUGAAUCAAGUCAUAGUUCAAGAGCUUAAGAAGCCGCCGACUCCGGAUCCUGUGGAGAAUCAGAACUUGACGACGAAUACCCAGUUCCAUGGCGUUUAUUAGCUAUAUUUACCACUUCAAGUCAAAGUUCAAGAGCUUAGGAAGCCGCCGACUCUGAAUCCUGUGAAGAAUCAGAACUUGACGACGGGUACCCAAUUCCAUGGCGUUUAUUAGGGAACACAACGAAAACAGUUCCGGCUAUUGCACCAAUAACCGGAGGCAACACCUGUAGCAAAACCUUCUCAGUGGACUCGAACCCUGGAUAAUAGCACCUGACAGUGUUGGCGUCCAAAAGUGACACAACUGCAAACACAAUCAAGGAAAAGAAGGCAUGCACAAAGUCCCCAAACCUAAGCUUGUAAGCAGACAAAUCCACAGAGUUUGAACUCGUCGAGGGCCAAAGCCCCUUGCAUGUUGCCACCCCAUAGUGUGUUUGUUCAUCACUGCCUUUGUAACUGUCUGUAAAGGAAGAAAAGCAGCAGGAGAAGCCGCAAACACCGAUGAGAACGGCGCUUAGGUAUUUGUUGACAGCAGUGCAUUUGCCGUUGUUGGUCAAGACAGGGUUGAGGAACUGGAACAAGAAGACCGUGCCUGUCGGGAGGAGCUUGAUGAGGUUGCCUGCGCCUGUUAAUGUUUUGUCUUUGACGCUUUUGUUGGUUGUGGUGGUUGUCUUGGAUUUAUAGGAAGAGCUCGUAGAACCCCCCAUUUUUCGGAAUUAAAGUAUUGUUUUGACGGAGUUUAUAGAAAUGAUAUUUGAGAAUUGUGUUGUAAAUUGUGGUUUAUGCGAGAGAGAAAUUUGGUGUGUAUUUAUAGAGAAAUAUAAGAGAGGCAAUUGGUUGGGAGAUGAAUUGCUUUCACGUUAACUGAAAAUGUGGCGUUAUCUUGUUGAGAUGGAAAUGUUGCUUUUACUCUUAGAAAGGGCGGGCUUAAUUUCUAAUCCAAGUUUUGAGUAUUAAUAUUGUGGAAUUUUUGUACUCUGGAAGGUUAACAAAUCUAAUUAAUGACUUUAGAUGGGCUUAGGAGAUGAGUUGAAAUUAAAUAGAUUCAAAGAUGUAAAUGAUUCACUUCUCAAAAUUGGGCUGCACGUAUUGUAUUGCUCUCAAUAAAUUGAUUUCAAGGCUAAAUAGUGUUUGGUCCAUACAUUCACUCUCUAUUCUCUUCGAUUCAUCUGAUCCCUGUAUUGGAGAUCUCUACCCCAAUAUAUUGUCCUCUCUCUCUCUCUUUUGGCCUCUCAAACCAGCAUUUAAUAUGUCAACCAUUUGCACUAGCUUACUGACACAUUUCCACCUAUUCGGCUAGACCCUCGUCAGUGAAGUGAUGUUUUAGCAGUCGGCGUGGCGCUCCUUUUAAGAUUCAAGCAGCCCGAUUUUCCCGCUCGGACCUUGGUUACUCUGCCCCGCCUUCCCAAGCACUCUCCCGAUAGCCUUUAUGUCCCAUCCUAGGCCUCUGCUAUCAAUUGCAAGUGGCCAUAUGGUCUGAGUAGCACCUGAAUGGUUUUACCUUUGGAGACUUGUGUCAUAUAGCUGUGCUCGCUCACAUGUUCCACGCAGUCGGGUAGUCCUUCUUUUGUCUCAGUCGGCCUGAGCACUCGGGAAGGCCUCUUCUGACCAUUUAGGUCUUGGGCUUCUUGGUCUUUCCUUAGGCUUAUGUAGUUGGGUGGGCCUAAAUGGACCCAAUAUUAACAUGAAUAAAUAAUAAACAAGAUAAAUUAGUGAUUAGAUUGUUGUGCAAUCGUAUAAUAUUUAAAUUAUAUCAAAAUACAGACGAAGUUAGGUCAGUUGGUUAGGACAAUGUGCCCAUCCAUUUUCAUUCAGACUCAAAUUAUUUUCUUGUAAAUGAGCUAUUUGUUGCCCAUCCAUUUUCAUUCAAACUCAAAUUCUUUUCUUGUAAAUGAGCUAUUUGUUGAUUCCCCUUCCCCCCCUGGCGCGUGUGCGAGCGCGCGCACAGAGAAUGUAAUUGGCUAAAAUUAAAGUUUAAGGGGGGGAAGGGAAAGGAAAAAUCGACAAAUACCUCCUUGUAAAUUAUAAUAUUGCAAUUAAGAGUUGUUAUUAACGUCGAUUGUCAAACACAGGACUGAAUAUCAUGCAUGUCCGGCAGUUAAGAGUUGUUAUUAACAUUUAAUGAUAUGUGAGGAUCAAAUGCCUAUUAAUCACAAGAUUAUAUUAUUUUAGGAAAUGGCAAAAGACCAAGUGCAAGUUAAAUUUGGGAUAACUCAAAGUAAAAAAAUUUGGGAUAACUCAUUCUUUAAUGAACAAAUUUCAAAAACCUUAGACAUUUGACUUAAUUCCAAAAUAAAAUAAGUAGAUUUUUGUGGUUCAGGUAACUUAAGCGUCUACAUUUAUUUACGUAUAUUCUUUGAGAUUUAAUUUUCACUUCAUAGAAUUUCUUGUAUUAGAAAAAAAAUUUAGAAACUCUCCAUAAGAUUUUGAGAAGGAGUGAAAGUAUGAUUAGUUGUAUAUUAUUGAUGGUUUUAUACCAUCAACAUUGAACAAUGACGUUGUAAUUUUCAAAACUUGCAUGGAUGUAGUGUUAUUAUUUUCUUGUUUAGUGCACGAAGAGUGCAUCUGAGGAGGGUUUAUUUUAUUUUUUAAGAAAAAACGUUAAAGUUGCAAAUGUACCCGCAAGUCAUGGGAAGAUGAAAAAAAAAAAAGCUUAAGACAUUGACACCAAUACCAGUAAGGGGCCGCUGUAUUUUGUUGGAGCCAGCAAAAUUGAAGCCACUUGAGUCAGUCAUACCAAGAGCCGCCAAUUUUUAUUUUGACUCGAGAGGCUGUUGCACAAUAUAUGUUUGUUCACUAUCAUUUAUUAUGGUAUAUGCUCAUCAUUCUAUUUAUCAUCGUUAGAUGAGUUUGAAUUUUGAAAUUUUAGAUAGGCACAAAUCUUGAAAUUCAAAUUCAUUUAAUAAUGAUAAAUAAGGUGCUAAGCAUACACCACACUAAAGGGCGAUCAACAAAAAUACACUCUAAUAUAUGGGGGUUUGCAGGGUAAAAUAGCACCUUCAAUUCUGCACACACAAUCUUUGAGUGGGGAGGGUGUAAACAAUAAAUCAGUAAUCUAGAAACUAAUUUGCUUAGUCCUUUUAGUCAUAAACGAGGGACGAGGGGCUGCCUACACGGGCAUGAAUCACAUGAUCAGACAUAUCCCGAUUCCCUGGCCACAUGUAUAUCCUGCAUCUUUGUCAUUUAUUAUUUCAUUCCACCGGACGGACUCGAUCAUUCAUUGAUCAAUUAGUUUUAUUAUAUAUAUUAUAAACUGAGAAUAAAAUUCAUAGUUUAAUUUAAUUGUACGCAGACUGUCUUUUUUCAUUAACCUACUAAUCCACUGAUAAUAUUAUCUAAUCACAUAUUUUAUUGCUAAAAACUACUGGUUGGCCACUCCCAACUCCAAGGUCCAAAGUCCAAAGGCCAGCCAAAUGAUUAGCUUUGUAACGGUCCUUAUUCACGUCCUUCUGAAUUCUGACCAGAAACCUUUACAAAAAUGGUCCAUGCCUAAUGCCCUAAACGCACUCACAAGUCACAACAGACAGACAGGCUCACAAAUUUAGUAGGGCGGGGGCGAGAGGGGGGAGAGAGAGAGAGAGAGAGAGAGAGAGAGAGAGAGAGAGAGAGAGAGAGAGAGAGAGAGAGAGAGCGAGAGAGCGAGCGCUUUAGCAAUGGAGCAUCAGAGAUUGUCAAGUGGAAGCAGAUGGAGAGGGAAGCCUAUUCGAUGCAGAGGUUUUCUUUUCUUUUCUUUUUUUUUCUCUUUUUUUGAUUAUCAAUUAUUGAUUAACUUUCUUGCUCUUGCUGCUAAUGAAUGCAUGAUUAAGUUCAAAUGAAUGGUAGUCUGACUCUGACUGAUAUGUGCUGCACUUGAACUUGCAUGUUAAUUAAUAGCUGCGGUGAGUCGGAAGGCAGGAGAGCCGCUAGUUCUAGAAGAUCCUGGUGGCGCCGCCAAUGCCUCAUGAAGUCCGCAUCCGAAUUAUCUGUACCUCUCUCUGCCACAGCGAUAUCACUUUCUGGAAAAUGAAGGUUCUUUCUUUCUUCUUUCCUCCUAAAUGAUCAAUUAACAAGUUGUUGGUGCUUAAUACUUCCAAAACUUUUUGUUUGUUAGGACUUUCCUGCAAUUUUCCCCAGAAUUCUUGGUCAUGAAGCUGUGGGGUGAGCUCCAACGCUUUCUUAUACGUCUUAUUGCCAUUUGCUUUCCAAGACAUGAUAAAGUAGCAAGUUAGGAACUGUCAAAAUUUAAAGGGAAGAAAGAAAGGCCAAGUCUAUCACUUUAUUAAUCUUUACCAUGUCAAAUGAUGUACGUAUACUUUUUUUAAUUUCCUUAUCAGCACAAGUAUAAUUGUUAAGGGAUCGGUCACGAACCACGUCUAACUUUUGCUGCAAAGGGCAGUUAGAAGCUUUGGUUGUCAUAUGUUUCAGACACAUUUGUUUGGUCAUCACUGCUGAUAUACUUGUCCAUCAAUGCUUAUUUGUCAUAGGGUUGUGGAGAGUGUUGGGGAGGAUGUCAAUGAGGUCUCAGAAGGAGAUACAGUCAUCCCAACUUUCAUGCCAGAAUGUGGAGAAUGCGUAGAUUGCAAAUCCACAAAGAGCCACCUAUGUACAAAACUCCCCUUCAAGCUCUCACCUUUUAUGCCAAGACACGAGACUAGCCGAUUCACAGACCUCAAUGGGGAGGUUCUAUACCAUUUUUUGUUCGUGUCUAGUUUUGCAGAGUAUACAGUGGUUGACAUAGCCCAUGUCACAAAAAUUGACCCUGCAAUACCUCCAAAUAGGGCAUGCCUUCUCGGCUGUGGAGUAUCAACAGGUACACUAGAAAUUCCUUAUAAUUCUUAUCCAGAUAGUGUGGUGUUUGCAAAAUCUAGAGUUGUUCUAAAAAAGCCAUUUUUUUGUGUGUACAUGUGUAGUCGCAUCUCACUAAAAAUUUAGAAAACAUCUAUAUCAAUCUUUGACAAAUUUGGCUUUAGGAGUUGGAGCUGCUUGGAAGACAGCAAAUGUGGAGAAGGGAUCAACUGUUGCUAUAUUUGGGCUAGGUUCAAUUGGAUUAGCUGUAUGUUCUUGCAGAACAUAGUCUGCAUAUCUUUUUGAUACUUUUCCUCUUUCUGAUAUGUGAUUGAUUGCAUCACGUCCAUGAUUGAAUUAUCCAGGUCGCGGAGGGAGCAAGACUUUGUGGAGCUACCAGAAUUAUUGGAGUCGAUGUAAAUCCGGACAAAUUUGAAAUUGGUAUUUGUAUCCUAUCAGAAGAACUUGAUCUUACUUUUGUUAGAGAAAAGCUUUGUAUUCAUGUGAAUGUACUUUCUGCAAAGAAUAUAGACCUUAUUGUUCUUUUUCUUAUCACCACAGGGAAGAAGUUGGGCCUCACCGACUUUGUGAAUGCUGCAACUUGUGAGAAUAAAUCUGCGAGCCAGGUUUUCUCUAAAACUAUGCCCGACUAUUCAGAGAUUGUAGUAUUUAAUUUUUCACCUCUGGUUCACUUGGUUAUCCUACUAAGCAUUUCCAGUUCUUUUUUCUCAUGUAAAACAGGUGAUCAUUGAGAUGACUGGCGGGGGUGCAGACUAUUGCUUUGAAUGUGUUGGACUGGCAUCAUUGGUGCAAGAAGCUUAUGCUUGUAGCCGAAAGGUUCUUGCUCGCGCUCUCUCUCUCUCUCUCUCUCUCUCUCUCUCUCUCUCUCUCUCUCUCUCCCCCUUACCGUUCCUAUCUCUCACACACGCACAGACAUUAUUUCUAUCAUGCCUUUUGCUGUCUUUUGUUGAACAUCUUUCAAUUUGCUGAUAUUUAGUUAUCAAAACAAGAAUGUGCAUAAUUCUGAUCAUGUGGGAGCUAGUUAUUUUAGAUUAUAACAUGCAUCAUAUUUUAUGUAAUUCUAUGCCCAGAAGGCUUGUGAACCUCCAUCAGCCAUCAGGAUGAAUUUAGGCGGCUAUAAUUUGUUUUCACUGAACAAUGUAUUAAUAUCAUUCUUUUCAACUGCAGGGUUGGGGAAAAACAAUCGUGUUAGGUGUGGACAAACCAGGGUCAAGGGUGAGCCUUCCCUCUAGUGAUAUCCUUCACAGCGGCAAAACCCUCAUGGGAUCCUUAUUCGGAGGACUCAAACCUAAAUCGGAUAUCCCUGCCCUCAUCAAUCGUUACAUGGACAAGGUGCUUUAGGAGUAAACUGUUUACUUGGAUUGUUUUUCGCUUUACUGUAACUGGAUAUCCUUUAAAUUUUUUGAUUUUCAUGCUAUCAGGAACUACAACUGGAUGAGUUUGUGACAAAUGAGGUGAGGUUUGAAGACAUCAACAAAGCUUUCGAUUUGCUCAUUGAAGGGCAAUGCCUUCGAUGUGUAAUCUAUAUGAGCAAUGAGUAAAUUACUUCUGCGUGUAACAGCCUUUACAUUUAUAUGUACUCUAUGCUAUCAAUAAGCAUGUAAGGUUUCAGAUUCUAAAUGAGUACUUAUUUGCAUCCCUUGCUACCUUGUCUUCUUAUUUUCUUUAAGAGGGAUACACAUGAAAGAAAAAUACUAAAUAAACAUUUAAGACACUGCAAAACCACUAGAUGCGCCAGUGAAGCAGGUGUUGGGGGAAUCCUUGGUUUCCUUUGCUGAACCAAAAUGCCUUAGCCUGUGAACCCCCGAAUUUGCAUCCCUCGGUAUUUCCCCUUCUAUGGUUGCUGUGCCAUAUAAGCUACCGGUAUCUACAUUCCACUUGAAAAACAGGGAGAAAUCAUCAUCGUCGUAAACAGGAACCCAGUGUUUUCCUUGAAGCAUCUCUACCACUGCAUAUGUCCCUUCCGUCAAUAAGUCAUAUCUUGGGUUAGCACUCCAAACCGUGGCAGUUGGUCGAUCUCCCUUUUUGAAUGAUCCACUUUUGGGUAAGUUGAUAUCCUCUUUAAUAACCCCGAAAGUUUGUAUCUGGGGGAGGUGAGUCUCCAGAACAACCAACUAAGAGCCUGAGUUGUACAGAGGAAAGAUGUGGUGGUAAGGGACCUUAAGGAAGGCCUUUGUCUCCCUUUGCCAUCGCUUUGGCUAAUUUCUCGAAUUCUUGAAUGUAAGAUGAUAAUGUGUGAGGACCAUAGAGAGUGGAAGCUAGAUUUAGGUAAGUCUCAUGCCAAACGUGUUAAAGAAUAAAUUUCGCUUAUGGGUUGAGUAUGUACCUCAUAUCUUUGUUGUGUGUGUUAGGAAGACCUGCUAUUACAAUGUGAGUACCCUCGUCAAAUUCACCAUUGCUGUUACUUAUAAGGGUCUCCUUGACUGCUUCCCUUAGCCGCCAACUGGCCAUUGUGGUGAAUUCUGCAAGAAUCGGUAGCUUAGAGAUUGUUAAAUCCAUUCGUACUGGUGUCAAGAGCAGGCCUUAUGGUGAGUGCUCAUGGUGGCUGUUUGUCUCAUAGUAUAUGUCACUUGUGAGGGGUUUUAGUUUUUAGAUUGAUUUACGCAGUAAGGUGUAAACGAAUCUCAGUGAUGUUGGAAUGGGACUGCCUUUGUGUUUUGGUAAAGAAUUUGUCAGUGCGCAUGCGAUGGACAUAGGUAUGAGUUGUGAAUUGUAAAAGAGGACUAAUCUCCAGGGACAGAAAGUAUGAUCAGCUUCCCAACCUGAGCAUUUGAAUAGGAACGGUUGCAGGCUGCAUUUGAUCCCUAAGGUUACAAUAGUUAAAAGAGAAUUUUCUCUCAACUCAGUAAUUCUAAAUAUAUGUACGAAAUGGAGUUCAACUCUCCUAGGGUCCUCAUUUGAGGAUUGUGAGUAGGGAUGGGCAAAUACCCAUUGGUUAUGGGUAAUCGUGGUUACCCGCCUAUUUAGAUUAAACGGUUACGGUUAUGGAUAACCGUUUAGAUAAAUAAACGGUUAUGGGUAUAACCAUUUACCCGUGAAAUUUAAAUAGGCGGUUAUGGGUAUUAACCGUGGUUAUAAACGGCUAACUGUUUACCCAUUUAUUUUAUAUAUGUAAAACUAACACAAAUCAUGUUCUCGAUCCAAUAAUACUUAGCACCCAAUAAAUUAGCAAGGAAUUCAUCGGUCAUUCUCUCAAUAACACAACUACAGGAAUGAUGAUUCUCAUCAUCAAGGAAUUGGCCAAAUUAAUUUAAAUUCUUUGCGAGUAACCGUGAAAUUGAAAGAAAUGCUUUGACAGAAAUGUCUUCUAAACAAUUUUUGUAACCCAAUAAUACCUAGCAAAUAUUAUAUUUACCUUCAUUGGUAACAGUUAAAAAUAUCGUCCCUAAACUAUUAUUUCAAUUAUUGGAAUGGUAUAAGGACUUAAAAAAAAUUAAAAUAUGGAAAUGUAUGAUGAAUGUACCUAUAACGGUGUUUAAUUGUCCGAAAAAAAAAUUAUGACAUUUUUUUUUAAUUUUCAAGUUGUUAAAAAACAUGUAGACGGGUGAAAAAAGGGUAAUGGUAAAAAAAAAAGAUAAACGAGUUAAAAAGGAUAAAUGGGUAAACGUGUAUUAAACGGUUACGGUUAAAUGGGUAUGCGGUUAUGGGUAUGGUUAACCGUUUAUAAACGGUUAUGGGUAUGUGUAUAACCGUUUAGACAAUUACCCAAUGAGUAAACGGUUAUGGGUAAAUUAACUGCAGUUACCCGACCGCCAUAACUAUUGCCUAUCCCUAAUUGUGAGAAUCAUAUGCUACAAAAUUAUAUUAGUUUAGAUAGUUGACAAAGAACAAAAUAAGUUUUCUAAUGGUUUAUAAAUUUUAGGGAACUUUAACGAAAAGCACACGGUACUGUUCACUUUAACGAAAAACCACAUUUUUACACUAAAAAGUCAAUCUUGAUACUAUUCACUUUACCCUUUAUUUUGUCCUUAUCAUUAAAACUCAAAGUUUUCAAGCCCUUUUCAUUAGUUUUCCUUAAAUUUUAAGGUAGUUUUGCUUUAUUAAAUUGUCAAUAUUUUAAACCUUUAAAUUCAAAAUGUGAGGAAGAAAGUUGAAGUCAACAAGAAAAUUAGCUUUUAAAAUUGAAAAAAAAGAAGGAAGAAUUGCUUUCUUCAAGUCAUUUUAGGAUUUUGCUUGCUAUAAAAAAAACAUAGUCAUUUUAAGUUCUAAAUUCCAACAGAUUAGUACACACCUUUCGUUAAUAGGAACCGGAACUGGAACCUUCCGAAAAUUCCCCAAGUUUGCAAUUAGGGCUUUUGUAUUGUAAUUGAAGACCACCGGAACCGGACUUUCCAACGUUGUUGCUUUGCAUCAGCCAGUUGAGGCUUGCGAUCGCCGUAGGAUUGAACGAUUAUCGGGUAUGUAGAUUUGCUUUUUGAAGAUCAAAUGUUUUUGUUUGUUUGUUUGUUUGUUGGAGUUUGGAAAUUAUAUUCUCAGCAUGACAUAUAGCCCGUGAUAUUCGGCAAUUCGGCAUUUGAAGGGUCCAAUGCAAUUCCCAAAUCAAUUAAAUUUCCAGUCUUAUAGGGUUUGACUGCAAAACCCUAAAUAUUUGUUUGCACGUUCAGAUUCAGCUCUGUCGAGCAAUAGCAUCAUCCGGGAUUCUAUUUCGUAUUGCAAAAUCAGACAAUAUCUGUUGUAUUGCUUGUCGAUUCUGCGAAUUAUGUACUAGGAAGUUUGAUGUUUGAUGUUGAAAGGAAAAAUGAGAUGUAUGAUUCUACAGGCAGAUACUAAGGGUUGGAAACUUGAGGUUACUUUCUAAACCAUUUCGACCAGCAUGGAAGAUCAGCACUCCAACGAAGGCGCCAGUUCUGGCAAUGUUGUUGGGGCCACUUCUGAUUCAAAUCUUGAGAUCAAUAUUAAGACUUUAGACUCACAGAUGUACAGUUUUCAAGUUGAUAAAAAUGUGAGUUCUAGUCUUUGGUCGUCUUGCGUAAUGCUUACUUAUAUGGGUUUUAGUUUUGUUAUUUUUCAUAUCUAAACCGUGAGCAAACUGCUAGGAACUACAUGUUUGUCCCUGCCUUUAUCAAGAUAUGAUCCCUUCAAGAUCUUAUUUAUUUUAUAUACUGAGAUGUUUGUACAUAUACAUUUCUCUUUCAGAUGCGAGUUUCACUGUUCAAGGAAAAAAUAGCUGAUCAAACAGGUGUACCAGUCAGUCAGCAGCGGCUGAUUUUCAGGGGAAGGGUGUUAAAAGAUGACCAUCCUCUUUCUGAGUAUCGUAUCCUACUAUUUCGAACAUGUAUUGUUUACGUUAGAUUUAUAUAGGAAUUCUGGUGCGUGUAGUAUGUUCACCCAGGCAGAAUGCUUGAAAUUUGAGUAACUGAAUUAGAUCUCUACCUGUCAUCUGUCAGCUGGGUUGGUUAGUUUAUUGUGUCGUCACAAUACAUAUACACAAACCUCUUGUAUGACAUUUCAAUUUUUUUAAGCUUUCAAAAUUUUAGGUAUUACAGUAGUUAUUGUUGAUCCCCCACUUAGUUUCUAUUGCUAUCCCUUAACCUCUUGUAGAUUUGGAAAAUGGGCACACAUUGCACUUAGUUAUUAGGCAGCCAUCCCAGCCACAACCUUCAUCGGGUACAAGUUCUGGCGAGGCACAUGUGAAUAGUGGUAAAUAAGUAAUUUGAUUUUAGUAGUGUUGGUACUUCUAUCUCAGGUUCAGAGUAAUUUGUUUUUUGAGCAAUGUUGGUGUAUAAGCUUCUUGAUGUAAUUUGGCAGGAAAUGAUGCUAGUGGUGUUCCUCGUGGUCGCAUUGGCCAGAUAUCUCACAGUGUAGUUCUUGGGACAUUUAAUGUUGGAGAUCAAGGUGAAGGCGCUGUUCCUGAUCUUAGUCGGGUUCGUAUUUGCUUCUUGUUGUGUUAAAGUAAUGGAUUUAUAUAUGUGCGUGUGUGUAUAUAUAUUAUAUAUAUAAAUGGGUGAGGAGCCUUAAAGUUGUACUUCCGGAAGCACAUUAUGCUUUAUUCUUUCUUGGUAGCUUAUUGGCACGGUUCUGAAUUCUAUUGGAAUUGGCACCCAGGCUACAACUAAUGGCACAGGCAACCCACAGUUCACUACUUCGGUGAGCAAUGAAUGUUUCUUGAAAUUACAACCAGAUAUAUUAAUAUCCUAAGUAUUUUUCUCACUUGCAAUUGUGGUCCAGAUAAAAUAAAUUGAAACUGCUGUAAUCUUGUAAAACUAAAGAAAAUGUCAUAAGUGUUCAUGGGCUAACGUUCCUUAGGAAAAAAGUAUAAAUUUAUUUUGUGGUUUUCCUACAGUCAAACACUCCUGGUCAGCCUCGUAAUGGAAAUGAAACAGAAGGGUCUCAUAAUGUCAACGGAGGAGGACAUCAAGCACAGUCUGGACAGGCAUUUCCUACCCAACCAUUCCAAACUUUUCCUCAAGCUGUGCAAACUCCUCUUGCAGCUGCAGCAUUUCCUAUGCCUUCAUUAAAUAUGGUAUUGUUAUGGAUUUUUGGGCAUGUCUUAUAAGUGAAUUGGACAUGUAUGCGACUGCUUAAUGUUUUUUAUGUUUUCUGUCCAGCCAAUUCCACACUCUUUGGAUACACUCUCCGAGUUCAUGAAGAGAAUGGAGCAGGGAUUAUCGCAAAAUGGUUAAAAACCAAAAACAGUCUUUUACUAUACAGUAAGACAUAAGGAAUAAGCUAAAUUUUUCUGGUUUUAUUUAGGUUAUCAGCCAAAUACAUCUGCAACCAAUACAGGAGACCCACCUAGGGUGAACUUACCUUCCACUGCACAGGGGAUGCCCACACCUGAGGCAUUGGGGAUUGUUCUUCGUCAUGUAGAGCGACUACUCAGCAAUCAUGCUGUUUCUGCGCUAUCUGUAAGACUUCUAAAUUUAUCUUUCCCUAUUGAUUAUGCUGUUUAUGCUAUUUUUUUCCAGAGAAACUACCAUGGCACCAUACACAUACAAUGAUCAUUUUCCCUUGAAUUAACUGUUUGUCUUGGACUUAAAAAAGUAUUUUCUCAUUUGGGUUGUAGAAGAAGGGUUCCUUUGCAUGCUAGAGCAUAACGUAUCUUUUAUGAUUAUUAAAGGAAUUAAAACUUGCCCUUUGACAAGGAUACAAACUUUUUAAGACUUGGAUUAUUAAAGGGCUUGCUUACCACAGUCAUUAUUCAAUCCGCCCAGCUGAUCAGUUCAGUUUGGUGGAUUGGAUCAAUUUCAAUAGAUUCACGUGUAAUAUAAAGAUUGAAGCUAUUGUAAAGUGUUUUGCUCAUAUCAUGUACCAAACAUAAUUCUCAAAGAAAGUUAUUGUUUCCAUAAUUUCAAAUGCUUACCAACUCUCAUUUAUUAAAAUGGAAAGCUUUAUCCUGAUAAAGAGUCAUGACCAUUUCAUCUUUGUUUACUGCUUGUGUUAACUGAUUAUGAGUUUAAUUUUAAUUUACUGCAACUUUGUAGCACAUUGCAGGACGAUUGGAACAAGAUGGAGCAUCUUCUGAUCCCUCUGUGAGAGGUCAAAUUCAGACAGAAUCUAUACAAUUAGGACUUGCAAUGCAACAUUUAGGUUCUCUUCUUCUUGAGCUUGGCCGAACAAUUUGGACCCUUCGUAUGGGGCAGUCUCCUGUAUGUUCUAGUUUGAUCUCAAUGUCUUGGUUUAAAUCUGUGAAUAAUAGACUAUAGUUGUUUAUAAUUGUUAUGGCAAAAAAAUCUACAGGGAGAAGCUGUUGUGAAUGCUGGGCCAGCAGUUUACAUAUCCCCAUCAGGACCUAAUCCCAUAAUGGUCCAGGUUUGUUGAUGCAUUUAUUAUGAAUGUAUACAUACUAUCACAUAUGGAUUAAGCAAGACAUGCAAAUGAAAACAUAUAAAUUAUUUAUAGUGAAUAAGUCGAGUGAAAAUUAUUAUUACUGGGGACUAAUUUUGAUAGUAUAGUGGAGAAGCAAAGUAUGGCCAUUAGUUCAAUAAGUGGUUGUUUAACUCGGCGUUUUAUCUUUUUGUUGGUAUAUCCAUUUUUUGAGCUUUAGUUAAUUUUGGUUUAAUUAUAUUGAUUUUGUUUAGAUGCCAACCAAGCCCCGCAAAUAAUGUUUUGUUUGCAGCCUUUCCCUCUUCAAACAAGCUCACUCAUUGGUGGUUCUGUACCUCAAUCAAACCCUGUGAGUUUUGGUCCUGUUGGGAUUGGCAGUGCUCCAAGGAAUGUAAACAUCCAUAUACAUGCUGGUAAGUAAAAUUUAUUGCUUACUUGAAGCUUUUACCUUUUAUGUAUCAAUGCGAAACACUUUUUACCAUCGAGUACCUCACUUGCACAAAUUAUUUCCGCAGUUGGUGCUAGGGGUAGUAAUGGGGAGGGUAUCCCAUCUGGUUCUAGGGAUUCAGGUGGCCGGGUGCUGCCAGUGAGAAAUGUAGUCGGUGCCACUAUUCCAUCCUCCCAAAUUGGUGUUUCAGUAUCCAAUGCGUCACAACCCGGUUCUGGUGUUUCUGUUUCACAGCAGCCUUCUGGCUCCUCACUUUCCUCCAUUGUUGCUGAACUUAACUCACAUUUUAGAAGUUUUGUUGGCGAUACACAAGCAGAAGACACAGUUCAAUCAGGUACCUUGCUGUAUGUGCUUUGGCUUCUGUGGAUAUAGAUUGUCAUUCUAGUUUUCCUAAGCUAUUUUGUUCUGUAAUCAGGUCAGGAUGUGUCCACUGUUCAGAAUCCAUCUGUUGAACCGCAUAAUUAUGCAGGAAGUGAACCUCCAAGUACUGGCUAUGUCGAUAUAGCUGGUGUGUCACUACCUGGUUGCACAUCUGAAAGUGAAGGUCAGAAGGUAUGUUUCACACAUUCUUGGAAUUCCCUUCAUUUAGGUUGUUUUAUAUAUUUAUUUAUUAUUUCACUGAUGUAAUCCGAUGCCGAACCGUAAUGUGUUAAAGUUCGUAAUUCUCAGGAUUCAGGAAGUGUUGGUACCUUGAAAAACAAUUCAAUAUUCCCAGUUGGAGGUUCUCUAAGCUCUUCAAGUGGCCAAAACACCGUGGUGAGAGAGGAUGAGAGGGGAAAUGCUCCACAAUCCAGUGAGAAGCAGGCUGAAGGUGCGAAAUCUGCUCCACUUGGUUUAGGACUCGGAGUUUUGGAGCGUAAGGUAUAAUAAUUUUGCAUCUGUUUCAUUGAUUUCAGAAAAAUCUGUUACGAACCAAAUUCCCCCCACCACUUUAGUCUUGAUAUAUCAGCAGUUAAUUAAAGUAUAAAUACUUGGCCACAAUAUGAUGGAUGUAGUGCUUGGGGAAGCAAUUAAGAGUACAUACUAUGGGUUUGUUUUUUUUCAGGCUCCUACAUAUUAAAAUAAAUAAAUGCUUUGCAGUCAACUUUCAUUUAGAUUGUUACUGAAACUGUAUCAUUGAUCCAAUCAGAGACAAGCCAGGCAGCCAAAACCGCUGACCAAGAAUGAAGAUGGUGGAAUAACUAGUUUUCCCAUCAAUCAGAAUCAGCAAGUAAUAGGUGGCCAGCAAGUUUUGCAGUCCCUUGCAUCUUGUAGUUCUGCUGUAAGUAGGAUGAAUUCAAGUGAUGUGCCGGCAAGACAAACAGUGCCUGCUGUUGAGCAGGUCAGAGAUGGUAGAACAUUGGGAGGGCAAGGUCCUGUUGGCCAAGUUGAUAUGGGAAGCAUGAUGUCUCAGGUUCUGCAGAGUCCAGCCCUGAAUGGUCUGUUGGCAGGUGUUUCAGACCAAACGGGAGUGGGUUCUCCCGAUAUAUUGAGGAAUAUGUUACAGAACUUUACACAGAAUCCACAGAUGAGGAAUGCUGUCAAUCAGAUUGCUGAACAGGUUGACAGCCAAGAUUUGGGAAACUUGUUUGGAGGAGGCCAAGGUGGUGGGAUUGAUAUGUCCAGGAUGUUCCAACAAAUGAUGCCCAUUGUAACUCGCGCCCUUGGGGCUGGAUCAAAUCCCGUCCGGCCAUCCUCUGCUUUGGUUCCUGAAUCUCGACCACCCCACAAUGAGCGAGGUCUCAGUAGAGAUGAUAAUAUCCCUAAGUCUGAGGUGUGUAUAUGGACUUCAAAACUCGUCUAUUCGUCAAAGUCUUGGAUCGACAUUUCACUUUUCUAGGACAGUGAUGGUUUUUGUAUUUUUGGCCGUAAAGAGUUAUGGUUUGUUUUUUAAUUGAGCCAUAAAUUGCAACUAGUAAUAGCUCUUUUUCUUCAUGCUCUAGAUUAAUCUCCAAGAAGUGGUUCAGAGGAUUGAGAACCUGAAUGCACCGGGAGAUGUUUUUCAUGCUCUAGUUGAGAAUUCAGUUCAGCUGUCUGGCAGAGGAAGUGGUCCUCAAGAACUUGUGGAUGAGUUGUGCAGGGACGAGCAUCUCUCCAGUGUAUGUGUUGUAUGCUUGACGUUUGUGGGAGGAGCUAGUCUUGAGAUUAAUCCGUACUGUAUUUAAACAGUGUCUUUUCCACUUGUGCAGGAAUAUGUUGAAAUAUUACGCAGGGACGUACGGCGACGGCUUGAGGGUGAUUCAGGGAAGGACAAGUGCUAGGCGGGCGGGUGGGUGUUGCUAUGGAUAGUGGAUAGUAUGUGGCUUCCAACGGGGAGGAUCGUGGGUUUACUUGCGUUUUAGACUUGUCAUUUGAAAUUUGUUUUACAGAUUGAUCAGAAUGUGGAUGUAGAAAUUAGGAUUGGGGGUUUGGUUUGAUUUGCUUGGGAUGUACCAUUUGGUUCGUUGUUGGAACCAACCAGUUUCAUAAAUUCUUAAUUGAUUUCUAUUUUAAACCCAAAAAUCAGCUGUGAAUCUGAGUUAAUAGAUUAGCUGACAGCUUUUUUAGUUUAUGUCAGUAUUUGGUAUGGGCUCCUCUAAACUUUUACGAUUAUUGAAUUACGAAUUUUAAUUUUUCUUGUGAAUGUGACAUUUGGUUGACGUAUAAAAGUUGUUUAUGUUUCAAUAACGAUCAGUAUAUGUACUGAGGAAUAGUAGCAUACCAAAGUGAAGGGCAGCUUCGUAAAUAUGUACAGAUGCCAAAAUUGUUCGUUUGUUUUCGAACGUAAAGAAAGAGAGGCGAGCAGAACACAACUAUUCUCCUAUUCAAUAUUUGAGUGGCAAUCGGAAACAAUAACCGGGAACAUUCCUCGAUCGCUCGCAGCUCCUGAGCUUCCACCAAGUGUCUUCACGUUCAAUGGAGUCGUCAGCCGACGGCAAGCCGAAGAAGGCGGGGGGCCGCCAGUGCUGCAUCUGUCAUGAGAGACGGGCCGCCCUCAAGAGACCCAAAACCCUAGAGCAGGUACUUUCUCCUACUGGUUUGCAGGGAGUAAAACCCUAGAAUUGAAUUGAAUCGUUUAUUGUUUGUGAAGAUUUGCAGGGAAUGUUUCUACGAGGUGUUUGAGGAGGAGAUUCAUCAGGUCAUCGUCGAAAACCAGUUAUUUAAGCCUGGUGAGCGCAUUGCCCUCGGUGCCUCCGGCGGCAAACGUAAAUUAAUUAAUCAAGCCGUGCUUCCAGUGCUAGUGAGUGGUGAUAAAUUAUAAUGCCGUUUGGAUUGUGAAAGUUAUGUUAUGUGGACCUUUAACUUCUUUCUGCUCAUUGCCUUUUGUGUUAUUUGCUGCCUUCAGAUUCCACUGUCCUCGCUUAUGUAUUAUCCGAAUUGAAUAGGCGGCACAAUUACGGUUUGGAUCUCUUCCUCUUGUCAGUCGAUGAGGGCAUUACUGGCUACAGGGACGAUUCUCUUGAAACCGUCAAAAGAAAUGAAAUCCAGGUUAAGUGAAUUUCGACUAUGAAUUUUCGGUCAUGUCUAAUGCUUUGUGUUUCUCUCUUUUUAAGCGUUAAUUGACUCUCGUUUGGAAUCUCUACUUUCAGUAUGGAUUGCCGCUGAAAAUAGUCUCCUACAAGGAUUUGUAUGGGUGGACCAUGGAUGAAAUAGUAAAGAUGAUAGGUCUCAAGAACAAUUGCACCUUCUGUGGUGUUUUUUGUCGUCAGGUAUUUGGCUGUCUUGGAAAUUGGCUGUUUUUCAUUUUCUAGGCAUCUUGUAUAGAUGUGUUUAGACAUGAAUACGGCGUUCAGAUUUUUUGACAAAAUAUGUUAUUUCCACAGAAACUUAUGCUGCUUGUUACUUAGUUAUGAAUGAAUAAUUUAAGCACUAAAACUGGUCAUUACAACUUUAUGCUGAUAACAGCUACAAACGCUGGCAUUUGUGAGCUUUUUCUUUCUUUAAGCAUGGAAGCAUGAUCGAAUUCUAUUGGUUGUGAGAGAUUAUAAGGAACAAUUCAACUUAAUGGAUAUAUCUAUUUACCUCUCAGGCCCUUGAUCGUGGUGCUGCACUGUUGAAGGUAGACAAGCUAGCUACUGGACAUAAUGCAGAUGAUAUUGCUGAAACAGUUCUUUUGAACUUAUUAAGAGGUGACAUUGCAAGAUAAUUCGUAGUUCAUCUUCCAUCAAGGUUUUUUUUUCCUCAGUUUGUUUGUAUGUUGAACUGAAUUUAUGGUUUUGUUUUGCAGAUUAAGUAGAUGCACUUCAAUUGUCACUGGUGAAGACGGGCCAAUUCCAAGAUGCAAACCUUUUAAAUACACCUAUGAGAAGGAGAUUGUUAUAUAUCCUUGCUGCUGAAAUAUUCAAUACUCUGAUUUUUUUGUUCUCUUCCUUUCAUCUCUGUUAUUCAUCUUAACGUUGAGUUGGAAUUCUUUGCAAAGCCUUAACUAAUUUUGCACGUAUGCAUAUUUCAAGAGGCUGGAUUACUUCUCCACAGAAUGUAAUUUAUCUUUCCUCUCAAGUCUUCCUCGGUUAUUUUCCCUCCGCUCAACCACCAUUUGCACUAUAUUUGUAUGUUUAAUGCUUUUACCAUUAGAUCUCAGAAGACAUUUUUGUGAAAUUGCAGGCAUUUAUUCACCCAAUGCAUAUCGUGGUUUUGCUCGUGAAUUCAUCAAGGAUUUAGAAAGAAUCAGGUUAAGUGCCUUGCUGAGAGAAUGUUUCACCGGUUGGCGUUGUAGUUUUCAGUUUUCACAAAAAAAAAAAACUUAUUAUAUUACAUUUUCAGUAUGCACAUUCUGUACUCCUAGUUUGACGUUUUACUGGACUUCUUUCAACUGAAGACCUAGGGCUAUACUUGACCUCAUCAAAUCAGGGGAAAAUUUCAGAAUUUCAACUUGUACAAAAAUGCCAGAACAGGGGACAUGUGAACGGUGCGGUUACAUUUCCAGCCAGGUAAGUUUGUUACCUUAGUAUACGUGACGUGGUUGAGAUAUCUGAAUAAUGUUACGCAUACUUAUUUGCUUUCGUUACUUGGGUAGAGUUUGGUUAGAGAAUCUGAACAUUUGUUGUUUUAUUGUGCAGAAAUGGUGCAAGGCUUGUGUUUUGCUAGAGGGGCUGAAUAAGGGUUUGCCAAAGCUGGGAAUUGGCCGGAGUCGAGGACUUAAUAACGAUGGGAAGAAUGAUACGAAGGAAAGAAAUGGAACAAAAAGUAUUGAAAGCAAGCAAUGUGGAAGUUUGGAUUUCUGAUUAAACCUGCAGGCUAUAUGGUAUAAAAUCAUGAUUGACAAUAAUGGUAAAGCUAGGUUAGGAUAUUCUUUGCAAAUCUUGUAAUGAUUUGGUUUUAUCGGGUAAUUACUUGUUUACGUUUCCUCAUCUGUAGCUUAGUUGGCAUGUUUACCCUACGGAUACGAUUAAAUUGUAUAACUUCCAAUUUUGUCACAAGAUUUUCAUCAAUAAAACAAAUUAGUUUUCUAGAUCGAGUGGGCAAUGGAGCAUUACUUGUAAGAGAAGUUCUGUUAUGAUACGGAAAAUUUUGAAAAUAUCAGCUGCCUCACCACACCAGGCUCACCUUCUGAUCUCGUUCACAAUACUUCGUAUAAAGGAAACGACACAUGUUAUUUUGUUAUAUGAACGACACAUGUUAUUUUGUGGUAGGGAACAAUAUGUUUUUGAACGAACGAUAAUAUCUAAGAUCUCUUACUUACAAGUGACGAAAAAUAUCACUAGACUACAUCUCACUUACAAGUUACGAAAAAGUACCACUAGACCAUUGUUAUAAGUGGCGAAACGACAUGUUUAAACCUUAUUCUCACGCACGAUGUACGAUAAAAUGUUAGAAUGUGAGAAUUCCUAUGAUCCUCACAAAGAAAAUCCGGAGAAAAUCCUCGUCCAUGUUAGUAAUAGAGUGGUGUCAUCAUAAUUGAAUUUUUGAGAAUUGGUCAGUUAAAUUGUAGUGCAAGUAAGGAACUUUUGUAGCCUUCACACUUCCAUUCCAUUUUUCAUGUGAGAGAGAAUGAGAGAGAUUAGGGAUAUUAGGUUGUGGGUUGAUUGAGAUUUGAGAGCAAUGUUUGUUUGCAUAUCGUAUUACUUUUUGUGGGCCUGAGCCUGACUGACUACAUGAUUAUGAGUCCAACAAAAGUUAUAAAUCCUUUUUGGAAUAAAUGUUUUUGUGGAACAGCUGUCUUGUGUUGUUGCGUUACUAUACUACUAGUGUUGAUUUGGUGUUUUUUUUGUGGUUGUAUGGUUUGAAACUUUGAGUUCAACAUGCCCACUGAUCACUGUUAAUGGGACCCCCAGCAAAGCAAACAAACAUAUUUCAAUUAAAUUUUUGGGUUUAGGGCCGCAUUUGAAAACGAAUUUAGAAACUGCGUACGCAUGUUUUACGUCGGGGAGUUGCCGUGUUGUGAGCUUUGUGGCGUGGAUCCUAAAUUUGCUAUUUUAUUUUGUUUUAUCAAUAAAUUUGCUACUUCAACUAUUCUUCUUGUAUUGCGGGAAAUAAAGAAUGAACGCGUGGGCGAUCAACUAGCUUCCUAUAUGAUAGGAAUUCUGAUUUUAGGUAUUAGGUUAUGAAUUUUAAUGUACAACUCGCACUUGUUAUUUUAUCUUUGGUCGGACUUUCUUGCAUGUUUAUUUAUGCUAUGACAAUAUAAAUCAAUAAACAGUAACUUAAUUGGUAGUUAGUUAGAAAAUGGUUAUUCAAAUACGAAAGUUAUGCUACUACGGUUAUCCACUCAUUUUAAAAGUCAAAAAAACUCACAGAGGCAAAUGUUGUUAACUUGAGCUACAACAUUUUGGGACAUUCUAGGAGCAAAAAGAGAGGGUAAAAUGUGGUUGAAAUAAAAGGCCGGUAUAGUGUCAUUCCAUUCUCACGCGACGUGAAUGUAGCUGGCAAACAAAAAAGUCUGAAUUCAGUUAACUUGAAAAAUAAAGACUUGCCAAAUUUCACAUGCUUGCUUUUAUUCCACGGAUAUUCUAUUACCAUACUCCAUUUAUGUCAAAAUAACUAGAAAAGAAAGAAAGAAACGUGAACAAAGUGAUUUUUUGGUGGACAUUCAAAUUAUGUAUAACUACUGUUCUAACAUACUAAAGUAAUUUGGAAUAAGAACAAUUAAUUGUAACAUUAUGUGGUUUAAAAAAUACGAUCUAAAAAAAAAAAGACCAUAUUUUGAUUUAUAAAAUUUAAUUUAGAAAUUAAUCUAUCAAACAUUACUCAUACAAAAGAUGUGUGCAAAUGUGUAAAUCAUGACAUGCAAAAGAUGCCGCUAUAUCUGUUGAAAAUUACAAUUAUAGAAUGUAGAGGUAACGUUUGAGAUUCACGAGAGCAUUGACUGUAGGGAUGGCAACGGUUCGGUUUGGGGACAGAAAUGUUAUAUCCAUCCCCAUAAUCACGAAAAUUAAUUAUAUUAAUAACCACAAAUUAACCAUCGGGCAUUAUCUAUAACCAUAUCCACCGGGUAAAUCCGUUAUCGGUUAUAUCCAUUUUCGUCAAAAAAAAAAAAUUAUAUCCAUCCAAUUCACGCAUUGUAAAUUUUAGUAGAUACUAAUUUCGUCAUUAAAUAGCAACAUCCAAUUAUAAAAAACAUAACAAUGUAUUUGAAGUUGUUCGUGAUAACAUGCACCAAUUUAUUGACAGUGAGACUCUUGAAGAGAGAUGAAUUUGAUAAACUUGUAACAUUUGAUAAUUAAUAUAUAAAACGAUUUAAUGAAUUAAUUUGGUUCAGUAUAACAAUAAGAGUAUUGAAUUGAUGAGGUUGUUGGUAUGCCCCAUGCAUGAUGUUUGGUGCAUAAUAAAUAUAGUAUAUGGUUUGAUGCAUGCAUAAUGAAUUAGUACAGGGAGGGUUCGGUAAAUUGAAUAAAAUUAUAUUAUAUUAGUGUUAGAUUCGGGAACAGAUAUGGAUUAAGAACCCUUAUAAUCAUAUCCAAAACUAUAACCGAAUAAAAUUCAUAAUUUUUCCCCAUAUCCAUACCAUACCCGAAUUUUCAUAUCCAAAUCUAAUCUAUUCGGACUGUUAUCGGGUUUAAGUCAUCUCUAAUUGACCGUGAUAUAUGCUUUUUUUUAUUAUUUUAAAGUGAAGUUUUGGUUUGGAUUAGACAUUAAUUAUUAAAUUAAAAGUAUAUGGCCAAUGGCAAAUCAGAGUUGACUGGAAAAUGGUUGAGUUGACUAAUGAGUCACGAGGGCUGGGUGAGUGAGGGCGAGAGAUUUUUUAAUCUGGCCGUCAUCCGAAGUGUUACAUCACGUGUCUUUAUAUAAAUGAUGAGAUAUGUGUGUUAAAAAGUUAAUAACUUAAAAAAUAAUAUAAAUGAUGAGAUAUGUAUGUUAAAAAGUUAAUAACUUAAAAAAUAAAUUUUUUUACUACUUACAUAAAAACACAUCUACCGUGUUCCCGUCACAACUAAAAUGAGGACAAAACAGGGCCCCGCUUUGUUAAAAACCCAUCACAUUUUCUCACAUGCGUUCUCUUGGUCCUGGAUGGCGCGGAAGCGAAACCCCCAAUCCCCACCGCCUCACCUCCAGACACACACAGUCGCAAGUACAAACACCCACCUAACCCAACCCAUGUGGCAGACACACACUUCACACUCCCAAUUUGUUCACUUCAUAAUUCAAAUUUAAUUAUGGAUAACAGCCACACAUUAUGUGUGUACUUAUUACUUAAAUAUAUAACAAAUUUUUAAAAAUUAUAAUCUAAAUGGAGUUUUAAUUGAAUGUAAAUUACGAUAUAAAAAAGGGAAAAAUAGGAAGUGAGAGGGUGAAGUUGGAGGAGUAGAAUUAUAGUUACACGAGGUGAUGCAAGCAAUUUUUAUUUUUUUAAUGUAAAUGUUUAAAUGCUCAUGCUUGUAGAUAAAAUUUUGAAAAUUAAAGACAUGAAAGUUGAUGAUUAAUUUAUUAUUUAAGCAUUAAUAAACAAGUUCAUUUUUAUUGGUGACACGUCAUUGAAUUUACAAAUUUAGUCUCUAAAUUUAGUUUCUCCAGCAUUAUCCUUUUUCUUAUGGUAAUGCGAGAGAGGUUAAAUUUGGAGACUAAAUUUUGUAAGUUAAAUGAUAUAGAAGUUAAUAAUUAAAUUAUUACUUAAGUAUUGAUUAACAUGCCUAUUUCUUAAUGGUGACAUAUUAUUUAGUUUACAAAUUUAGUAUACAGAUUUAAUCACUUUAGCAUUACUUUUUUUAAAAAUAUUUUAUUACAAUUACGUACGGAAGACUAAUAAUAUUUGUAUUGAUUUUAGUAGAUAAAGAGGAUGUUAUAUUAACUAAUUAAUAGGUAUGCAAACAGAAACCACCACCGACACCCACCGUUAUUUAAUUUUAUUGCCACUUCUUUUCAAUAUAAAUUAUACUAUAUAAUUUUCAGGGAAAAAAAAAAGAUUAUGCUUUUAUUAGUUUUCCCUCUCUGCGGUUGCGGCCAUAGGCUCCAUAGUCCAUGUCACCCGUGGUUGUCUGUACCGCACUUAAAUAUAUAGGUGUCAUUCCUCCUCCUCCUCCUCCUCAAGGCCUCAUCGAUUAUGUCAUAAUCCAUUCACUCCUUCCCUUUCCCUCACUUCUCUUUUGAAAGUCACUCUCCACAGCUCUCCUUUUCCCUUAUUAUUCCAAUAUCAACCCAUCCCAACACCUCCAAAAUCUCUCCGUCAGUCAUUAGCUUAAUCACGUAGUCGUACGCAUAACUAAAAUGCCGCUAAACGGAGCGGAAGGUGCCAUCUGGGCACUGCUAUGUCUCGCCGCUCUCUUCUCCAUAGCCGUCGCUGAAGAUCCCUACAGAUUCUUCGAAUGGAAUGUCACUUACGGCGACAUUUACCCUCUCGGUGUUCGCCAAAAGGUUUCUCAUCCAAAUCUAAUUAUCUUUUAAUCAAUUUGUGGCAUUGUUUAAUACGUUGACUCAAAUCAGUGUCUGAUUCCUCCGAUCUGAUUGAAAUGAAAAUGAAUGGGAUUCCGAUCUGUUGAAUUUAAUCUCAGGGAAUACUGAUAAAUGGACAGUUCCCGGGGCCAGACAUCCACUCCGUCACCAAUGACAAUCUCAUCAUCAACGUCUUCAACAGCUUGGACGAGCCGUUCCUCCUCUCCUGGUAACACACAGCACACACACUCUCUCUCUCUGCUCUGGCUCUCUGAUUAGUUACCAAGUUAGUGCAAAGAUUAUAUACCAAAUCAAAUUUUUAUUAAUGAUUUGUAAUACAUAUGAAGUAAAACCUAAGAGACAAGAUUUCCCUCUUCAUUUUUUAGGCCUUUGAUUAGAGUGCGGGGUUAGUGCAACUGCGCACGUACACCCCAGGCUCAGACUGACGCCUUUGUUGGUUUCCACAUUAUUAUCUAUCUUUCUUUUUUAUUUAUAUUUUACCUUUGAGUUUAGAUCUGGGUAAUUGGGGAAUGUUUUGUUAAUUGUUGUUAUUGGAGGGAAGGCAUGGAAGGAAGAAUUCAAUUAGAUCUGGUUCGUUAUCAAUACAAUAAUGGUAGUAAUCUGGUACUAGUGACUUCUCACCAGCUCAGCUUUCUAUAUCUAGAAACUAGAAAACGACUCGAUUCCUCUGCGGCUGAGCUUAAUCAUUUGAUUCUUGUUAAUCAACCUACUCUUAUUUUGAUUUCUCAUGUGUUUUAUUUUCCUACCAUUACUCAUUAGUAGAAUGAGUAAUUACUAGAUACAAGUGCUAUAUGGUGGUGAAUCCGUACAUAUAAAUUGCUCUUUAUUUUAUUUUUGAGUUUCUUAAUAAAAUAUGCUACGAUUUUAUAAGUUUGUUGCCUUACUUGUAAUUGACAUAAGGAACAAGAAAAAAAGUAAAUCCAGUAAAUUAAUUAAUUCUUGUGAAAGGGUGCAGGAGGUUAUUUAACUAAUUAAUUGUUUAUUUAAUUUUGUUAAUCAUCCUAUUUGUAAAAACAGGAACGGAAUCCAACAAAGAAGGAAUUCAUUUGAGGACGGAGUGUAUGGAACAACCUGCCCAAUUCCACCGGGGAAGAACUUCACCUACAUUCUCCAAGUCAAGGACCAAAUCGGAAGUUUCUACUACUUCCCAUCUCUCGCCUUCCACAAGGCUGCCGGCGGCUUCGGAGGCAUCCGAAUUCUUAGCAGGCCCAGAAUUCCCGUCCCUUUCCCCGAUCCUGCCGGUGAUUACACUGUUCUUAUUGGUGAUUGGUACAAGGCUAAUCACACGGUAAAUCCUAUAUUUCCACUUCUUUUUACUUCUUCAACUAAAAUCAAACACAUUAAUUUAUCCGUGUUCCUAGUUGCAUACAUUUGCCGGCGUUUUUUUUUAUGUUUGAUCCGAAUUGUCGCGCAUUUUGGAAAGAACGAAAACAAACAAAAACCAUAAAGCGCUUACGAAGGUAGAGCAUGUAACCGAUUACUUUUCGGUCUAUUAUUCUAGACAGCUGGAGCUGUUUGACAUCUGUGAUCCUAUGUCGGUAAAACCAGCCCUUUUGCGUUUUUAUUCCAUUCGAAAGCAAUUUUGUGUGAAAAGAUAAAAAUCAAAAGCAAUUUGUAAUCCAAUUUUUGUCUAAAAGGAAAACUAGGAAUGGUUUUUGAAUUACAAGUUAUUAAGUUUUGGUUGAACUAAGUAUCGGUGAGUAUUGAUGUUCAUGAAAUUGUCACAAUAUGGGGAACGAUCCUUUCUAACAAUAACAUUAAAAUUUUCAUUCACAAUAACAAAUUUAGGCAGAUAAGACAUCAGCCGGAUAAGAUCCGAGUUCUAAGUUAUAACGCUGUUACUCAAAAAACCAGCUCUCAACAUAAUGACAAUUGGAUUAGAGACCAAAAUUGUAACUAGGACUAAAUUUUAGGUCUAACGCACCAAUUUUCUUUUUCAUUUUUAUUAUUGAAAUUGCGGUAACCCUUAUUGGUGUGCGAGACUGGGGAUAAUUGUGUGUGUGUGGGCCCACGAACGCAGUGUUGAGCACGUCACCGUCUUUAUCUGCCCACUCCAAAUGGCCCAUUUGGUGACCCAGUUUUGUCUUAAUGUUAUAUAACUUGUAGCCCCUUGAUUUGUUCUUGUGUGGGUCACUCGCAUUAUCUCCCUGACAUGUGACCCAAGCUAAUAAUUCCAAACAGUACAUCUCUGAAACCAUAUCUCAGUAGCCAGAAGAACCGUUCUGGCUAGAACAAUUCUUCGCUGCUGUAAACUCAGCACGAAGUCCUGCACGCAAGUGACGUGGCACUUUCAGAAACAACACGUGUGGGGUUUUUUUUUUCCUCCCAAAAACCUCUUAUCUUUAGCCUAGGUAAGUUUCCUCUUUCUUGACUGAUUCCUUGUCUGCAUCUUUCCUUUCCUGUUCACCGUCUUCUAUUUUCUCCUCUCUCUAUCCAACAAUUCUCCCACUAUCUAUUGAAGAAAGAUCUAGAGCUUCAUGAUGGCUGCAAAUCCUGAAAUAUAUUUGCAUCCUACUAAUUUUGAACAGAAAAAAAAUUGGAAAUUCCAUAUUUUCAUUUUUCUCUCCUCCCUCCCCCUGUAUCUCUCUUUCUCUCUCCCAAUUUCUCCAUUGCAAAGCUUCAUGCUUUAUGCUUUAUCUUUCACUCUUUCUGGCCCUUCCAGUCGGCAACCCCCGCUCAACACACCAUCUGUUCAGGCUACCAUCAAAAUUGUAGCCUCUUGUCAACCAUCAUCCCCCACCACCAUAGCCUAACGUUCCUCACAACGCAAAUGAAAUCCAAGGAGCUGGAGAGGAAGAGAGACGAAGGUGCUCUGUUUUACUUGGGUUAAAUAACUAAACCAGGGUUGAAAGAGAUUUUGGAGGGAAAAAAAAAACCCCACACGUGUUGCUCUGUGAAGGUGCCGCGUCACUUUUGUGCAGGACUUCCUGCUGCGUUUACAGCAGCGAAGUAUUGUUCUAGCCAGAACCUACCAAAUAUUUUUGUUGUAGGUGUCGCCACCGUCGUAUACAACUGGAAAAAGGAACACUUCCUCCCUAUAACGACCCCUUUGUUUUGAUACAAGCUAAUAUUUUACAUUAUAUUAUUUAAAUUGCAAAAAAAACAGAAUCCAGCUUAUCAGCUCAGUUAAUGUAACUACAUUCACGUCUACCUGGAGAACAACUUUGAUUAGUUUUGAUUGCCUUGUCAAUUUAUCAGUGUUGAUUAUUUUAUUUGUCUUGUACAGACCUUGAAGGCUCAUCUGGACCGUGGUAAGAAGCUACCUUUCCCUGAUGGAAUCCUUAUCAACGGCCGCGGUCCUGGUGGAUUCUCUCUUAAUUUUGAGCAAGGUGUGCCUUCACAAUUAAUGUCGAUAUCAACUUUUACAAUCACAAUCAUCCUACAUUUAUCUUCAUUAGAUUGUUAAUGGUGUAUAUGUAUUAUGUAUCUCAUUGCAGGAAAAACAUACAGGCUCAGAAUUUCAAACAUUGGGUUGCAAAAUUCCCUCAACUUCCGCAUUCAAAACCACAAAAUGAAGCUGGUAGAAGUGGAGGGAACACACACCCUCCAAACCACCUACUCAUCCCUUGAUGUACACGUUGGCCAAUCCUACUCGGUUCUUGUAACAGCUGAUCAGCCUGGACAAGACUACUACCUUGUAGCUUCCUCUCGUUUCACCUCUCCAAUCCUCACCACAACCGGCACUGUUCAUUACGCCAACUCUGCUGGCAAAGUCUCUGGCCCACCCCCUGGUGGACCUACCAUCCAAGUCGACUGGUCUUUGAACCAAGCCCGCUCUAUCAGGUACUUUCUCGUUUCAUACUAUUUCUACCAAAUUGGACUAAUGUCCUGACCAUUGUCCAUUACGCAUGCAUGUUAUUUCAGGACCAAUCUUACAGCAAGUGGACCGAGGCCAAACCCGCAGGGCUCGUACCACUACGGACUGAUCAAUUUAACCAAAACUUAUGUGCUACAAAAUUCCGCUGGUCAAGUGAACGGUAAGCAAAGAUAUGGGGUGAACAGCGUGUCGUUUGUUCCAGCAGACACUCCCUUGAAGCUCGCGGACUACUUCAAAAUUGGAGGAGUUUUCCGUGUUGGAAGCAUCUCCGACAGGCCUACUGGUGGGGGAUUGUACCUUGACACCUCAGUAUUGGGUGCUGAUUAUAGAGCAUUCGUCGAGAUUGUGUUCCAAAACAACGAAGAUAUAAUUCAGAGCUGGCAUCUCGAUGGUUACUCUUUCUUUGUUGUUGGGUAAGCAUACCCUCAGUUCCAUAUGCUCAAUUUAAUCCAGUCUUUUCUUGAUAGGUAAUUCGAAAUUGCUUGUCAAAUAUUUGCAGUAUGGAUGGAGGGCAGUGGACAACUGCUAGCAGGAAUGCGUAUAAUCUCAGAGAUGCGGUUUCACGUUGCACCACUCAGGUACGUAAUUACUCCUUGAUACUUGUGCAUUUGAUGCUCACAUUCUAACUACACAAUGGGGAGAAAAACAGUAACAUACGUGUAUAUAUGUGGUUGAUUUAUAGAUUACUGUGAAUGCAGGUGUAUCCCAAGUCGUGGACGGCUAUAUACAUUCCGCUAGAUAAUGUGGGAAUGUGGAACUUGAGGACAGAGUUUUGGGCACGACAGUACCUUGGGCAACAGUUAUAUCUGCGUGUUUAUACUCCAUCCACUUCAAUUAGGGAUGAAUACCCUAUUCCAAGGAAUGCGCGGCUAUGUGGCAGAGCAAGCGGCCGGCGCACACGACCCCUCUAAGCUCUAAACUAGGGGCUACGCCAGCAAAGUAGGAGUGAGUGAAGGGCCUCUACGAUGGAGUUUUAGCUUUAGCUGAUUGAGAUAGAACAACAGUCAACUCCACUGUUGCUUCAAAUUUGAUUUUUCAGGGGUGCUGUUUGAUUACGAUAUAUAAAUUUAUGUCGCAUGAUCGCAACUGUCAAAGACCUCAGCUCGAGGUCGCAUUAAUUCUUUCCUAUAACAGAUUGAUUGUAUACCUUUUGUUAUUGUACCAGGUUUUCGUCUGCCUAAUUAGUAAUUAUGAUCAGGUUGGGUGACCCUCCUGUUCUCAACUUGUUUCUCAAUCAUCUCCACUCUCUGGUUUUUUGUUAGCAUAUUAUAUAUACCUUUGCUACAUUCCCCCUUAAAUUAUCAAUUUUGUCUCAAUUUUGAAUUAAUUUCAUCACGACAAUACUCCUGACCAAAUUUUAGAGGCAUAAUAAUGUGCAAUAUCAUGUAUCAACUAUUAAAAAAUAGAUGAAAAUAUGAUUCAAUUUGAAAAACUAAUGAUAGAAGUAACAUCGCGGAGACAUUCACACAAAUUGAGCGCUUGUUUAGAUGUACUUUUUUUUUGUUGAACAAUCGAUAUUAUUUACACUAGGCAGAUAAAAUGGGUUUAGCCUCACAAUAAGCUAGCAAUAAUGUGGUAUCAAAUUCACUUUUGACGAGAAUCGAACAGAAGACCUUUCACUCAUAAGUGAAGAGGAAUACCACUAAUACUAAGGGGCCGUUUAAAUGUGCUUUUAAAAUAACUAAAAGCAUAUUUAGAGAAGUACUUAUAGUUACAUUUUUAUAAAUAAUUAAUUUAAAAAAAAUAUUUUUAUUAAAAACAUUUUCAACCGUUUUAAAAACGAGAAUCGGGAAAGUCUAAGUAUAAAUAAAACAUAAUCAAAAGUUUUUGUAUAUCGUAAACCAAAUAAAAAUUAAAAUAAUAAAAGUGAAACAACAAAAAAGCAAGAGGGCCUUCCUGCGACUUCGCGCAACUACGCAAAAAGGGUUCCUGUGCGAUCUUAUAUGAAAAGAAAAUCUUUGAAAACUUUGAGUUUCAAUGAUAAAGAUAAAAUAAAGAGUAAAGUGAAUAGUAUCAGGAUUGAUUCUUUAGUGUAAAAAUAUGAUUUUUCGUUAAAGUGAACAGUAGCGAGUGUUUUUCGUUAAAAUUAUUGUAUAAAACUCGCUAGGGCAUCUGGUACCUGUCAUUUCCCAUCACCGGCUAGAAAUCACGCUGGACCACCCUUCCCUUCCAAUCUAGCCGUUCGUUCCACAACCCUUGUACUGACGCAUCAUAUUUUGAAAAACCGAGCAACCUAGCGGAGGUAUACACCCGGUUCUUCUCACUACACUCUCUUUUACUUGUGUGCUGCCGGUUCAACUUAGAUAGAGUGAAAAAACCCUCGACGCCGAAACCAGUUAUCUUGGGCGGGAUCUAGAGUCUUCAAUUCUCCCUUCACCAUCUCCGUCUACGCUUUCUCUUCGGUAAGAUCAGGCAGUUUCUUUUUCACGGUUUCCAUUUCCUAAGAUUUUGUGUUUUAGGGUUUUACAGACUUCAGAUUUUCUUUGCUUCAAGUUUCCUCGCUUCUCUCAUUUUCCUCGUGAUUUGCGUGUUCGGAUUGUUUUUUGCCGUUCGAUUUUACUCCGUUAUGUAAAAUCUCAUAGGUUUUCGUUCGGCCGAAGUUUUUUGAUAUCUCUAUUCCAUGGCGGUAAGCAAAUGUUUAGAGUUUAAACUUUGGCAUUUUAUUUUCAGGUUUCAUUUUUUUUGUUUGAUUUGAUUUUCUUGGUAAAUGCGAUAGGUGGAGAGAAUUUUCAAAGAUGAAGCUAGUGAGGAGAAAGGAGAGCGCGCCAGACUGGUGAGUUUCCUGGACUGUGCUUUGAUAUUCACAGUGUUUUGUAGUAAACAAAAUGUCAUUUCUAUGAAUUUCAUGGUUAAUGAUUUCAAGAUUUAGUUUCCUGAAAUUUUGUUGGAUAAUAUUGUUGACUAGGAUCACAGCAUUUUUUCGAACUUACUUUUGUGGGAUUAGGGUGGAUGUAUGAGGUGUUCCAUUGAAUCUUUUGUUUGGCUUUAAUUUGUUGUGUUCGCAAGGCCUUCUGGGAUUGGCUACUGUCCUGGAUUAUACUGUUGUUCAGUAUGUAAUGGUGUAGGCAGAUGUAGAUUAGGAAAUUUCAAUUUUCAUUUUGUUAUUCAAAUUCAAACGAAUAUGGCAAGAUUCUGACUUAUCCCCCCCCCAUGUACAACUUAUCUUUAAUUUGUAUUGUUUUAGGCUUCAUUUGUGGGCGCAAUGGCAAUUGCUGACUUGGUUAAGACAACCUUAGGGCCGAAGGGAAUGGUGAGUUUCUCUUACUUAAUCUGUUAACAAACUAAUAGACAAUAUGCUUAUACAAUGCUUUCCUACUUGUGUUAGUUACUUUCCUGUUAAUAUUUUUUGUACAGGAUAAAAUUUUGCAAUCAACAGGAAGAGGACACGAGGUUACUGUUACUAAUGAUGGGGCCACCAUCUUAAAGUCCCUGCAUAUUGACAAUGCAGCUGCUAAAGUUCUUGUUGGUAUCCUGACCAUUUGAUUUUAAAUUUGUGACUGUUUAUGCUGAUUAUUACAGGUUGUAGACAUAUUUUUCCAUUUCAGUUAUCUACUUAUCACUUUACAUAUAUCUAUUUGGCCAAAACUGUUGUUGGCAAGUUAUCUUUGAUCUUGAAGUACUGAAAGUGUAUGGGAGUGGUAGAGAUAGAUCUUGCUCACAUUUGGCGAUGAUCCUUAAUACAAGAGUCAGAUAUUUCAAAAGUUCAAGAUGAUGAAGUUGGUGACGGGACAACUUCUGUUGUUGUUUUGGCGGGUGAGCUCUUAAGGGAGGCUGAAAAGCUGGUUGCAUCAAAGAUUCACCCAAUGACAAUCAUUUCAGGUUUGUCUUAGGUUUCUGCAAACACGUAUCUCACUAGUUUUGUAGUUCUGUUCUGUUGUAUUUUUAUGUGGUACCAUGUAACUUUAAUGCUGUAAGUUUGAUUUUUUAGGUUAUCGGAUGGCAGCUGAAUGUGCACGUAAUGCUUUAUUGCAGAAGGUUGUGGAUAACAAGGCUGACUCUGGUAUUCACUACUGAUUUUUCCCUUCUUCUGUCCGAUCCAUUGAUUAUUUCACCUCAUGGAUCAACUUUCAUUUAGUAGCUGUUGAUAUGAGUUAUUCUAGUUACAUGAUGUUCAAUAUUGAAUUUGAUGGGUUUGGUCUUUAUGCAUGCUGCCCUCUGAGAUUGGAGCUUUUGAAUUGAUUGACAUCGUAUUCAUUAUCUUUGCCUUGUAAAAUUAUAACUAAGUGAAGCCAUCACUGAAUUGUGCAGAAAAAUUUAAGUCGGACCUAAUGAAGAUCGCAAUGACUACUUUGAGCUCCAAAAUUCUUUCUCAGGACAAAGAACAUUUUGCACAGCUAGCCGUGGAUGCUGUGAUGCGCCUAAAGGUGAUUGUAAAAUAACAUUUAGUAGUUAAGGUUCAGUCUGAAUGUUGAAAACAUAUAUUUUUCUUUAGUCUUCAUUUACUUAACAAGCUGUUUCCAUUGGCAGGGAAGUACCAACUUAGAGGCUAUCCAAAUUAUAAAGAAGCCCGGUGGAUCACUUAUAGAUUCAUUUUUAGAUGAAGGGUAAGAAGGAAAAUGAACUUUUGAGCUUAUGUUAUUUUUACUGCUAGUUUUGACAAUUUCUGGAAUGUAAGUCUUGGAUUCUUUUUGUUAUUUCUUGACUUCUUCUAUACUUCUGUUUUUAUUUUUCAGAUUUAUUCUUGACAAGAAAAUAGGUCUUGGUCAGCCGAAGCGCAUAGAGAAUGCAAACAUUUUGGUCGCAAACACAGCAAUGGACACAGACAAAGUGAAGAUUUAUGGGGCACGUGUUCGUGUUGAUUCAAUGGCGAAGGUUGCUGAAAUUGAAGGGGCUGAGAAAGAUAAAAUGAGAGAAAAAGUGCAGAAGAUCAUAGGUCAUGGAAUUAACUGUUUCGUUAACAGACAGUUGAUCUACAAUUUCCCAGAAGAACUCUUUGCAGAUGCUGGAAUACUUGCAAUUGAGCAUGCUGAUUUUGAUGGCAUUGAGCGUUUGGCCUUAGUUACUGGUGGUGAAAUUGCAUCAACCUUUGAUAAUCCAGAGUCCGUUAAGCUUGGGCACUGCAAGCUCAUUGAGGAAAUUAUGAUUGGUGAGGACAAGUUGAUCCAUUUUUCUGGAGUUGAACUGGGUCAGGCUUGCACAAUAGUGCUGAGAGGCGCGAGGUAUUUUAUUCAUUUACAUUUUGUUCUCUUCUAAUGUUCUGCACUGGCUAAUAUUAUUGUGCCCACACAGAUGUAAUUUUAACCUCGUGUGUGUGUGCGCGCGCGCAUGUGUGUGUGAAAGAUAGUAUAUGAAAUGUGAGAGGUAAUACAUGAAAUGGAGUACCUUACAUCCGUAGCUUAUCUUAUUUGAGGCCAUGGUUAAACUGGCUGAGAGUCUCUGUCAGACUCAUAUGCCCUUUGGAAUCCCUAAAAUUAUGGUAGCAGGUAUUGCAUUUGUGGCUUGCGUUACUGACGGUUUUGUUAUUAGCUGACUGGAAACUGCUACUCUUGUCAGCUUGUAUUUCCCUUUCUUUCCACUUAUGGAUAUUCCUUGUAGCACCUAGUAAUUAGGAUUUACAUUUGAAGUAUACUCCAAAAAGAUGUAGGAAGCUUUUGUUUUGGCCCUGGAGCUAAAAUUGGUUCUUUUUACUUUUCGUUGGAUGAUUGUAUGAUAUGUUUGUACUUUGGCAGCCAUCACGUUCUUGACGAGGCUGAAAGGUCUCUGCAUGAUGCCUUGUGUGUGCUGUCUCAGACGGUCAAUGACAGCAGAGUUUUGCUUGGAGGUGGAUGGCCUGAGAUGAUAAUGGCAAAGGAAGUUGAUGAGCUGGCCAGGAAAACGCCUGGAAAGAAAUCAUGCUAUUGAAGCUUUCUCGCGGGCACUCUUGGCCAUUCCUACUAUCAUUGCUGACAAUGCCGGUUUGGACAGUGCUGAGUUGAUUGCAAAGCUACGUGCAGAGCACCAGAAAGAAGGAUGCACUUCUGGGAUUGAUGUCAUCUCUGGAACAGUAAGUACCAGAAUGAAAAAAAAUGAACAAAAUAGUAGAUUUAUGGCAUUUCUUUUUAAUAUAUUGAGCAUGAUGUUUGACCUCAGCUUUGGAAGGCUGUAUCCGUGAUGCGAUACUGUCAUGCAAAGCGAAGCAUUAUAUGUUAAUGGGGAGAAAUUACUUGCGGGGUGCCUGGACUCUUAUAAUGAUCUGAUGCAUGGCAUUUUUUUUACGCUGGCAGGUAGGAGACAUGGCAGAACGAGGGAUAUCAGAAGCGUUUAAAGUUAAGCAGGCCGUCCUGCUCUCUGCAACAGAGGCUGCAGAGAUGAUUCUUAGAGUUGACGAGAUCAUCACCUGUGCACCAAGGAAGAGAGAAGAUAGAAUGUGAUUUGCCAGAAACAGAUGUAUUUUUAAUGUCUGCCCUUUGUCUUGGCAAUAUGUGGCUUUGUAUGUUGAUGUUAUUGUUAGAUGGAUCAAAGUUUUGGAAAAAUGUGUUUUCGAUGUGGCCGGGACUGUAACUGAGGACUUAUUUUGAAUUUAUCUUUGAGUGGAUGUUUCUUAUUUGGUCGGUCAUCUUGCUUGGACCACUGAAUUUAUGUUGUUGAUUUGCUGUCGUGGAUAUUGGCAUGGGCUCGUGAAAUCGUAAGAGAUCCAUAUCGGCAUGAUUCACUCUGUUAAAAAAAAUUAUUAUUAUUAUUUAAGUUUUCAGUAUGGCCCCUCACCCUGAAAUCCUCCGCAUAUAAACCCAGCUGCUCGCCAUUUUUUCUUCGUCCGUUUACUCAAUUCUGUCGCGCUCGCCGCCAAUGGUGACGGAGGACAACAACGAGAGCUGCGGGAGUAGAGCGCUGUGAGAAAUCAGAAGGAGCGAUGGAAAAUCUUGGAAGAAGGAAUCCGCGACCGCGAGGACAGGAGAAGACGGGAGAGAGUGAUUUGGAGGAAGAGAGGAAGGAAAGAGAGAGACCGAGGAAGUGACGAUUAGGUUUUUAGACUUUAGAAAUUUAUACAGCAUUAAAGAUUACAGAGAGAUGUGGGAGGAGGAAGAGGUUUUUGUUUUUGUUUUUGUUUUAAUAAAAAAUAGUAAAAUUUGGAAAUGUGAAAUUACAUUAUUGUUCAUCAUUUCUUUUUAUGUGAUAGAAGACUAAGUAAUUUUUUUUAUCAUCUUUUUUUUUUUUUUUGAAAGCUAUUUUUAUCAUAUUUUAGUUAACAAAAAAUGUUUCAUUAAUUAAUAGAGAUAACAGAGAAGAAGUAAAAUGAUUAUUAUGCCUGUUUGAUUAAUACAUAGAAAAACUUCAAUAACGAAGGUGAUAAUGGUAAUUUAAGCAGCACACCCAAGGUUUGUAUAAUAACUUGCACAGUUUGCCCGUUAUUCUGGGAAGUAGUACAGUAAUCAUCCCCUUCAUUGAGCGUUAGGGCUUUUCGAAAUGGCAAACGAGGCCCAAGAUGUUCGCAGGCCACCGUUAAUGGCGAUAAUGUACAAUCUCUCUGCGACGUCGUCCAAGAGUUGCCUAGACGCGCCGUCAUAGACUUAUGGUCCACCGGGGUAACUUCCGCUUUUGCCCUAAUUUAUCUCUUCUUAGCUUUGCCCUGUAUGUAUUAAUUCAAGGUUUUCACGUAUAUUUUGAGUAUAUGGAAUCGUAUUCAAUUAGGGUUCUUCAAAUGUCAUAUUCCUCCAAAUAUUGAUUGUACUGCAUUUUUUUUAUUUUAAACCUAAUACUUUUAUAUUUUGGAGGCUCGUUCACUUUGAUUAUUCAAUUCCUAGUUCUAAGUAGAUUUGGUUCAAACGUCCUCGGUAGAUUACUUGAGUGUUUCCGAAAUUUUCAACAAAAAUAAAAUUCCCCUGUAGGUAUGCACCAGAUGCAUCUUACGGUUCUUUGGGAUCAGAGAGAAUGUUUACUAUCGUUCUCACUAUCGCGGUCAAUCUUGAGUUCACUUCUUGGAGAUUCUGAGAAACAUUUGGUGGAUAGUAAAGCAAGAGAACCGGUAGCUUGUAGCGUUUGCUUGGGGAUCUUGCAGUCAGUUAUUCUGUUGAUAAGAAGUUGGUGGCAGAAAGGGAGAGUGCCGACGAGUUGGCUGUUUCCAUUUCCAAUCUGAUUAGGCAACAGGGCUUUCAGAUUGACAGCUUUUCUCUUGAAGUGUCCGUACCUCCAAUUAUCCAGGAAAAUGAUCGCAUUGCUUGGUAAGAAAUGUACUUUCACAGAAAAGCUCUAUGACUGUUGAACUUUGGACAGUUUCAGAAUUACCUAAUCUAUUAUUUAUAUCUUCUGCAUCCAGAGCAGAGGAAAUGAGAAAAAAAAAAAAAAGGUCGUACCCAGUGCACAAGGCUCCCGCUUUAGGCAGGGUCUGGGAGAGGUGAAUGUCGGCUAGCCUUACCCCCAUUUAUGGAGAGGCUGCUCCCAAGUCUCGAACCCGAGACCUACCGCUCAUGGGCGAAGGCACUUGCCAUCGCACCAAGUGCGACCUCUAGCAGAGGAAAUGAGAAAGAGAAAAAAAUUGUUUUUGUUUUGUGUUAGUUGACAAAUUUAAUUUACAUUCUACAUCUGAAGUGUAGGGUGUAGACUGUGUAAGUAUCUGUUUAUCCAAAUUUGAGUGUCUUCAAGCUUUUUGAACAAGCUAUUUAUAUAGGUUGAUUUAAUUUUGUAUUUCCUUUUGUAGGCUGUAUAUGAAAAGAAAGUUUGAAUCUGAACUUUGGUUCCAAGGAAAACCACUUCCUGAAUGCAUUUCUGCAAAGGAUGCUCUAAAAAUUUCUCUUGCGGUGACCCUUGAAACAUUGUUACUAUGUAAAGCUUCUUUCUUUCAGAUUCUAAUUAUGUUAUCUAUUUGACAAAACAAAUAUAGGGCUUUAUAAUUUUUACAGAGAGCAAUGAGUUUCAUAUGACCCAUACAAACUAAGAAUAAUCAAUUUCAAAUGUAUGUGAGCAGUCUUCUAUAAUUUGAAGUUCUGCAAGGUUGUAAGUCCAGCAUAAGCAGAUUCCGCAUCCGUUUGACGUACACUCACCGUCUAUCAUCAAAAGCAGUCGAUAGUUUUAAUGAGGGGUGCAAACGAAGAAAACCAGGCAUGUUCAGUUUUACACUACCACCAAUUGUUCUAGUUUUCUUCCCAAGGUCAGUAGGAUCUCGCUUUCUGCUGCCCACAUGUUUCUAACCCAUAAGUGGGAACUUAUGUGCCCAACCUGUACUAUUUUGGUACUGUUUGAUACCUAUAUGCUAAUACAGCAUAUAACGUGAAUGUUGGAAUUGUAGUGAGAAAUAUGAUAAUGUUUCAUAUUAAGAAGUGAAUUGUCAUGUAUAACUAGGGAAUAUGUAAGCAUUCGGUUUGUAAACCUCGAGUGAUGAGUCCCAAUGAGGAAGCAGUCAGUCUACUGUUUGUGGACAUAGGUGUAGUCAAAGCCUAAUUGUUGGUCAUGCUUUCGGUGGAUACCCCUUAAUGAUUGGUUAGAAGAUGCUACAUCUAGCUUUUGCUUUUAUGAUUUUUGCUCUGGUUGUUAAAGAGAAUAUUUAAUAGGUUUUAAGAACUAAUUCAGGGCAUGUUUAUUAGAACCCAAUACUUCAUCUUUUUUAAAUACAAACUAUUUGGUUCAAGCUCAACAUAUAGCCGACCCCACUCAGUGACUUGGAUUUUUCAAGUCUCCAACUGAUAAGUUUUCCUCACUCGAGAAAUUAAGGGAACACUACCUCAACCUACAUGCUUCACUCACAAAGCUUCAACAUACAAGCUUCAACAAAAGAAAAAUGCAAAGAACUUAGUGAAGAAGGCUUUGGUGUAUUUAACACAAUACGUUGAAAUGAAGCAAAGCUUAUUUAUUGAUAUCUCCGAUAAGUUACAAAUAUGUACAUAUACAUGAGUCAAAAUAAACAAACAAAGAGGGGGCCUUCACAAAGGUUGCUUAGGAGAAGUUCUCAGCAGUCCGUAGAGCCCCAGAAAGAAGAAGGCACCGUUGAUAGAUCACUCGGAGCCUCAGUAUGGACAGAACCCUAGAAGGAAUAGAGGCAUCGGAGGCUGAUCAUUUGGAUUUGGAGCUCAUUACAGCCCCAGAAAGACGAGGCACCGGAAUGAUACUCGGGCGAAUGACAACCCUGGAAAGAAGUCGGAGCUAAUCAUUCCUUUUACGGCCAGAAACGAAGGCAAUAAAUGCCUUUGGAACAAACCCAUAAACCUCUGAUGAUCAAGUAAAAUCUGACCAUCAGAUUCCUUCACCUAGUCAAGCUUCCUCUUCAUGUUUGUAGCAUAGUCAUGUGCGAGCCUGUGCAACUGUUUAUUCUCAUGCUUGAGCCCUCUAAUCUUCUGCUUGAGACUCAUCACUUCAGCCGUCAAUGAUUCAACUUGGCGGGUUCGAGCAAAUAGGCGUUGGGCCAUAUUUGACACAGAACCUGCACACUGAACAUUGAGAGCCAGAGAAUCCUUAACAGCCAACUCAUCAGACCGUUUGCUUUCUCAAGUGUGCUUUGGAACUUAAUGCCAGCCUCUAUAAAAAUCUGCACUCGACGGAGCACUAGAAAUCGAAGAGGCGCCUGCUCAGAAAUCGAAGAGGCGUUUGCUUUCUCAAAAGCUGGGCUGCUCAGAGACCACGAGGGCCGAUCUCAGAGAUUGAAGAGGCGUUUGCUUUCUCAAAAGCGGGGCUGCUCAGAGACCACGAGGGCCGAUCUCAGAAAUCGAAGAGGCACCUGCUUUCUCAGCCUUGUCAGCACCUGUCACAUGCACACUCAGCUUUGCGAAAAUUACGGGCAAUCUGUCGAAGAUUUCUGGUGAAGUAGAAAGCACGUGAAUCUUAUUGUUCAAUCAUCCACUUUCCACACGCAACAUCAGCUCAUGGGUACCACAGAUAACGUUGCCAAAGAUCUCUGACAAAGUUUAGACACGUGAAGCUUGCAGCUCCCACUACAUCUCUAUGACCAAGAAGGGUAAAAGAAUAGCAAAGAAACAGCACUAACAAAGUUUAGACACAUAAAUUUUAAAGGUUUAGCUACCAUAUUAUUACUCAAAAGGGUAAAGGAACAGCACCACGGCUGGAUAAUUGGAAAGUCCCUAUGUGUCAACCUCUGUGCUCCGUGGCAAGGUAGACUAGCAAAAAUGCCCAACCUUUACUCACAUUCGAGAAAAUACUCCCAACAAGAUUGCUUGCUCCAAAAUCGAAGAGGCAUCGCCCUCCGAAUCUCAAGAGCCAGACUCCCAACAGGAUUACUUUCUCAAAAAUCGAAGAGACACCGCUCUCCGAAUUUCAAGAGCCAGACCCCCAGCAGGAUUGCUUUCUCAAAAAUCGAAGAGACACCGCUCUCCGAAUUUCAAGAGCCAGACUCCCAGCAGGAUUGCUUUCUCAAAAAUCGAAGAGGCACCGUUCUCCGAAUCUCGAGAGCCAGAUCCCCGACAGGAUCGCUUGUUCGAAAACCAAAGAGGCAUCGCUUUCUCAACUUCGAGAGCCAUAUCUCCUUGGAUAAAGCUUGUCUGUAAUCUUCACACGAACAUCAGCUUUCUAGAUACCACAGACCACUUUUUCAAAGUGCUCUGACAGUUAAAACACGUGAAGCUGGCAGCUCCCACUACAGUGCUAUGACCAAGAAGGGUAAAGGAAUAGCAUUACUACUUGUUGUUAGGGAGACUCCUAUAUAUGUCGACCUCCAUCCUCAACGGACAGGCAGACCUGCAAAAAUGCUCAACCCUUCCUCAUAUCUGAGAGGUUACUCCCAACGAAGCCUCUCGAAAUACUCAGCUUUCUUUCCCCCCGAUAAUACCUCUGCAAACAAGCUACACCAGAGCAAGAAUAUCUCAUAUCAUCAGGGUUAAAAGAAAGAGUAUCCCAUAUCAUGCUUUUUCCCUGUCUUUUCCUUUGGCCUUGUUCUUACCUGCAAGACAAGGAGAAAGAGAGCAAUCAGUCAGCACUUGGAAUCAAGCUUCCAGUCAGGAACUGACUGCCUGGAACCCCUUACCUGAUUACUUACCUGGCAUUGCUCUCGAGUACUCAUCUUCAACAUCUUAUGCUUCCAGAGAAGAUACCACAUAUGCCUAAGGAACAGAUAGGGCAAGUGGGAAGGAUACAAGGAAGCAUGUGGAGACAAGCGUAAUAGAACACGUGCCGAUACUUCCACUACUUUGUCAACAACAAAAGUAUCCCAUAUCAGCAGGGUCAAACAUACUCUAGAUUUGAUGGACUUGUUUUGACCCACAAAUUCUUCAGUUGGCCUUAUACUCUGGAGGUAACCAGAAAACCCUCCAGCCCAGUUCAAGAACAAGCUUGUGGAAAGUUACUUCUUCAAAAGCAAAAGUAUCUCAUAUCAUCUCUUCUACUUUUCUUCUCUUUAUCCUUCAUGCUGCCUGCAAGAUAAGAAGAAUGAGAACAAUCAGCCGGAACUCGAAAUCAAAAUUCUGAUCUGGGACUGAGUGGUUGAAGCUCUGAUUGCUUACCUUGUCUGUCACCUCUUUCAGCAGAUCCCCUAGCUCGGCGACUUGGGGGACUCCUACUACAUGGUUUGUAUCGCGCUUGACCAAGCCUGAAACUACAAGUAAGCUUCAAGUGAAAUUGAUACAUUACCUUGUGCAUCUCCACCUGUUAAAGAUACCACCCCUGGACGGAGGAAGAGUACUUCCAGAGAAGAUGCCACAUCUACCUAUGAGACAGAUAAGGCAAGUGAAGACAAUACCACACUUCGAUACUUAGAAGUUUCGUGAUUACUCAGCGGCUUGGAUCUUGCAAGUCCCCAACCGAGGAGCUUCCCCUCCAACCAGGAGGUCAAUCACAGAGCGACACGUGUUGACAUCAGAAGCCAAUCAUAGCGCGACACGUGUCAACAUCGGAAGCCAAUCACAACACGACACGUGUCAAUGUCAGAACAAGGCUAGAAACUCUCUUUCAUAAAAGGAGAUCAUUUUCCCAAAAUAUUUCUUAAUGCCAUUUGUACUAAAUCAUUCACUUGUACCCACUAAAGGAGAACUUGAACCUAUGUACUUGUGUAAACCCUUCACAAUUAAUGAGAACUCCUCUACUCCGUGGACGUAGCCAAUCUGGGUGAACCACGUACAUCUUGUGUUUGCUCUCCUGUCUCUAUCCUUUUACAUACUUAUCCAUACUAAUGACCGGAGCAAUCUAGCGAAGGUCACAAACUUAAUACUUUCUGUUGUACCAAAGUCCUCACUGAUUUUGUGCAUCAACAAUCCUUAAGUCCUUACCUUUUUGCAUUGGUAAUGGAUGAGUUAACAGGACAUAUUCAAGAUGUUAUUCCUUGGUGUAUGCUUUUCGCAGACGAUAUAGAGUUGAUAGAUGAAACUCAGGAAGGGGUAAAUGCGAAGCUUAACCUUUGGAGAGAAGUGUUGGAAUCUAAAGGUCUUCACCUAAGCCGAUCAAAGACAGAAUAUAUGGAAUACAAGCGGGAUGGAUGAAGUGGAAGAGUGCAUCCGACGUGUUGUAUGACCGUCGUAUGCCACUGAAACUCAAGGAAAAAUUUUAUAAGACGGCAAUAAGGUCGGCGAUACUGUAUGGCACAAAAUGUUGGGCGGUGAAGCAUCAACACGUACACAAAAUGGGUGUAGCGGAGAUGAGGAUGCUUCGUUGGAGGUGUGGGCUCACGAGAAAGGAUAAGAUUAGGAAUGAGUGGGUUGGACAUGUGCAAAGAAGGCCUACUGACGCUCCAGUUCGAAGAUGUGACUACGGGACAGAGGUUCAGGGCCGAAGAGGUAAGGGAAGACCUAGAAAAACUUUGGAAGAGACCCUAAGAAAAGACUUAGAGUACUUGGAUCUAACGGAGGACAUGACACAAAACCGAGCGCAAUGGCGUUCUAGGAUUCACAUAGCCGACCCCACUUAGUGGGAAAAGGCUUUGUUGUUGUUGUUGUUUGUUGUGCUUGAGUAUAUUUGUAGGGUGUUGAAUAGAAGCUAGAUAAUCUGAGUUAAUGUCUGAUUUUCAAAAUAUCUGAGAAGAUAAAGUAUUAUCUGAUAGUGAAAAACCUUUUAAGUAUUUUAUUUCAUUCAUCAUUUUUUCACUUUAAAUUCUCAUCAUUAGACCGUAAUUAAGGGAGGCAAGUCUUCAGUAUCCUUACAUGCUGACAUGUAACACGUCGGCUGUAACCCUCUUUUAAUGCAAACCAUUUCUGAUAUCAACUGCCUGAUUUUGAAGUGUCUCUUUACUGUUAUUCUAAUAGGCGCUGGCAAUGGUUUGGACAGAAUUGAUGGUGACAUCAAAUGCUCUGGCUUUUCAACAAGUGAAGUUGAUGCGGUUGUUGAAAGGUCUUUCUUGAGUUUGCAAGCUAAUGAGUUGCCUGAGUGCCUGAAGUUACCUUUAGAGCAGGUUCUCUUGUAAAUUGUUUUGGUGUUGGUUUCCCAAGUUCUAACUUUUUGGAAUGAUCUGAAGACUCUAUUUGCCAUUUUUGAAUGUGAUGGGGGGAUAAUGAUGGAUGAGUGAACUUAAUUUGAUUGUUACUUGUCCGUAUUUAGGUAUACUGCGGUAACAGUUACAGGACUGCCUAUCCCUUUAUUGGUUUCUAACUUUCAGGCAUUAACUUGGUAUCGGAGCUGAAUGGUCUAGUUCAUUCAUGUUUGUAUUUUCGUGCAUCAGUGCAUCACCUCGUCAGAUUACUAAAUCAUUUAUGAUGUUGAUGCUAAUUUUUCUUAGACUUUAUCCUUUCUAGUCCAGUGAACCUUGCUGUUUAGAGUUUCUCCGCUACCGGACUCAAAUCUACAUUGGUGGGAGAUACCUGAAGGUAAGCUAACUGUGAUUUUUCGUUUUUAGAAUCAAUAGCUUAACUUAACAUAACCAGAUGUUAGGUUUAUCUGGGCAUAUUGAAAUCCACUAUUGAUCUAUUUGCUUAUAUCUGAAAGUUGGAAAAUGAGUUUGAGAUGUUUUCUUAUUUCUAUGUUGGAACGCCUUGCAUCCAAGUUUAAUCUUCUUCUGCGUCAUAUAAGCCAAUCUUGUUGUUGCCUGUGUGUCAUAAGCUAAUCUCGUGAUUACCUCUGUACCAUAAGCUGUUGUUAUUGAACAAGAAAGGUCUUUUAAUUGAUGCUAAUUACUUUUUAUGUUUCAGUACUCGAGAAAUGUGAGUCAAACCUGUUGGAUUAUUGAUGAUGAGAGAAUGGGAGAAGCAUCUGUCGAGGUAAUAUCUACCCCAAAUAUUGGCCACAAUCUUUCUUAUUUGACUUGUUCCUCUGGAAACAGUGGUGGAGAUGCUGACAGUUAUUUCUGUUCUCCUUCGUAGGAGAUACUAGAUAGCAACAUUCUUCCUAUGUGUUGUGGUGAUAACUACAAGUUUCAUGCUGCCGGAAGAGAAGAUAUCGAUGUAAUGGAAAUCUACCUUUCUGUACUGCAGUUUGAUUUUAAUAAGAAAAUUCUGAAGUAUGUAAAUAUCUUAGGUACGGAUUUCUGGAAGGCCUUUCCAGCUUGAGAUACAAAACGCACGCCUUGUCCCAUCUGAUGAGUCUGUAAAAAGUUUGGAAACGGAGAUAAAUAAAUUGGUGAGCUCACUGUUAAAUUGACAUUGUUGUUUCUUGUCAUUGAACAAUUACAAAAAAAACACAUUAUGGAUGCAGGUAGGUUUGAAAAAUCUGAAACUGGUUGACAGUCGGUCAUGGGAUCUGAUGCGUGAAGGGGAAGCAGAGAAACAGGUUUCCUUCUUAAUUUUUUGGUCACCCACACCAGCACACCCCUCUUUUCACAUCAUGUUGAUGGCCCUCUUGUUAUAUUGUCUUGAAUUUUCAUGCAGAAGCAGUACGUCGCGCGAGUGGAUUUCUUGCCCUCUCAAGGAUGAAGAUUUGCAUUCUAUAUCUUCACUAAGACAUGGUGAGCGGUUUUCUAAGACUUUUAAUAGUUUUCUACUUGGUUAUUGUCAACUAUAAAGGGUGACAUUAUGUUGACAGAGUAGGGCUCUGUUCAUUGAGUGAGGAUCCUUGCCUGAUCCCCUUUGUGAGGAUCCCGAGAAAAACAUGUGGUGCAACGAGAAUGACUCGAAAAUAGGCUUAUGAUGAAUUUUACAAAAUUUCGCAAAACCAAUUGAAAUUUUUAGUUUUGGAAAAUCUUUUGCGUGGAAACUGAGGAACAUGUUACAAGAUCUUUGGAUGUAGUCGUGGAAUUUAUUGGGUCCAAAAGUAUUUUUUAUGAAUUUUUAAUGUUGAAAGUAGAAAAAUUAAAGCGUGGGAAAAUAUUACAAGAUCUUUGAAUGCAAUCGUACCUUUUAUUAGGUCCUAGAAGUAUAUUUUAAGGAUUUUUAGUGUUGAAAGUAGAAAAAUUAAUAAAAAUAAUUACUCAAAAGUUAUUUUUAGGUUUCCAAAAUCUUAAAAAUCUCCUACACUACUAUUAGGAAACAUAUGGUGCGACAAGAAUCCUUAAAAUAAGCUUUGGAUGAAUUUUGCAAAACUUUGUGGAACUAAUUGAAAACAUGGGUAACUCACGAAUUAUGUAAAAAAAAUUGAAAUUUUUAGUUUUGGAAAAUCUUUUGCGUGGAAAUUGUGGAACAUGUUACAAGAUCUUCAGAUGUAGUGGAAUUUAUUGUGUCCAAAAGUAUUUUUUAUGAAAUUUUAAUUGUUGAAAGUAGAAAAUUAAAUAAAAAUAAUUUAGGGGCUCAAAAGUUAUUUUUAGGUGUUUAAAAUCUUUGGAAUGCCAUACAUUAAUAUUAUGAAAGCAAUGAGAAUGAUUAGAAAAUAAACUUUUGACGAAAUUUGCAAAAAUUCGCAAAAUCGAUUGAAAACACGGGCUAUAACUCAUGGAGUCUGAAAAAAUUGAAAUUUUAGUUUUGGGAAAUCUUUUAUAUGGGAACUGAGGAAAAUGUCACAAGAUCUUGGAUAUAGUCAUGCCAUUUAUUGGGUCCCGAAACUAUUUUUUAUGGAUUUUAUUUGUUGAAAAUAGAAAAGUUAAAUAAAAAAUAGUUACAGUCCCAAAAGUGAUUUUGGUGUAUAAAAUAUUUGGAAUGUCCUACAUUAAUAUUAGAAAACAUGUGGUGCAGCUACAGUGACUCAAAAAUAGGUUUAUGAUGAAUUUUGAAAAAAUUCAUGGAACUGAUUAAAAACGUGGGUUACUCACGGGUUCUGUAACAAAAAUUGAAAUUUUUAGUUUUGAAAAAUCUUUUGCGUGGGAACUGAGGAACAUAUUACAAGAUCUUGGGAUGCAAUCGUACAAUUUAUUGGGUUCCGAAAGUUUUUUUUUAUUUUUUUUGAAUUUUUUAAGUUGGAAGUAGAAAAACUAAAUAAAAAUAAUUAAGGGGCUCAAGUUAUUUUUAGGUAUCUAAAUUCUUCUGAAUGUCCUACAUUAAUAUAAAAAAAUAUGUGGUGCGACGAGAAUGACUCGAAAAUAGGGUUAUGAUGAAUUUUACAAAAUUUCACAAAACCAAUUGAAAACGUGACUCACGAAUUAUGUGAAAAAAUUGAAAUUUUUAGUUUUGGGAAAUCUUUUGCAUGGGAACUGAAGAAAUAUUACAAGAUCUUUAGAUGCAAUCAUAACAUGUUACAAGAUCUUCAGAUGUAGUCAUGGAAUUUAUUGGGUCCCAAAAGUAUUUUUUUAUGGAUUUUUAAUGUUGAAAGUAGAAAAAUUAAAUAAAAAUAAUUUAGGGGCCUAAAAGUUAUUUUUUGGUGUCUAAAAUCUUUGGAAUGUCCUACAUUAAUAUUAGGAAACAUGUGGUGCGAUGAGAAUGACUUGAAUAUAAGUUUUUGAUGAACUUUGCAAAAAUUCGCAAAAUCGAUUGAAAACACGAGUUAUAUAACUCAUGGAGUGAAAAAAAAAUUGAAAUAUUUAGUGUUGGGAAAUCUUUUUUAUGGGAAUUGAGGAAAAUGUCACAAGAUCUUGGAUACAGGCAUACAAUUUAUUGGGUCCCAAAAGUAUUUUUUUAUGGAUUUUCAUUGUUGAAAAUAGAAAAAAUUAAAUAAAAAAAGUUACAUGUCCCAAAGGUGAUUUUUAGGUGUAUAAAAUCUUUGGAAUGUCUUACAUUAAUAUUAGAAAACAUGUGGUGCAGCUACAAUGACUCAAAAAUAGGCUUAUUCGUGAAACUAAUUAAAAAAGUGGGUUAUAACUCAAGGGUUCUAUAACAAAAUUGAAAUUUUUAGUUUUGGAAAAUCUUUUGCCUGGGAAUUGAGGAACAUGUUACUAGAUCUUCAGAUGUAGUUGUACAAUUUAUUGGGUUCCGAAAGUGUUUUUUUUAUGAAUUUUUAAAGUUGGAAGUAGAAAAACUAAAUAAAAAUUAUUAAAGGCUCAAAAGUUAUUUUUAGGUGUCUAAAAUCUUCAAAAUGUCCUACAUUAAUAUUAGAAAGUGGUGCGACGAGAAUGACUCAAAAAUAGGCUUAUGAUGAAUUUUGCAAAAUUUUGCAAAACAUAUUGAAAACGUAGGCAAAAAUUGAAAUUUUGCAAAAUUUUACUCAUGAAUUAUGUGAAAAAUUGAAAUUUUUAGUUUUGGGAAAUCUUUUACGUGGGGACUGAGGAAAAUAUUACAAGAUCUAUGGAUGCAAUCGUAUCAUUUGCUAGGUCCCGAAAGUAUUUUUUAUGUUGAAAAUAUAAAAAUUAAAUAAAAAUAAUUAUGGGUCUCAAAAGUUAUUUUUAGUUGUCUAAAAUCUUAGGAAUGUUCUAUGCUAAUAUUAAGAAACAUGUGCAACGAGAUUGACUUGAAAAUAAGCUUAUGAAUUUUUAAAAAAAAAAUAUUGCGAAAGCCAAUUGAAAACGAGGGUUACACGCGGAUUCUGUGAAAAAUAGAAAUUCUUAGUUUUGGGAAAUCUUUUGAGCGGGAAUUAAAGAAAAUGUUCCAGGAUCUAUGAAUACAGUUGUACCAUUUAUUGUGUUCUAAAAGUAAUUUUUAUGAAGUUUUAGUGUUGAAAUAGAAAAUUUAAAUAAAAUAAUUAGGGGGCUCAAAAGUGAUUUGUAGGUGUCUAAAAUUUACAGCCCGCUAUAGUUCAUCAAUAGAAAAAAGAAAAAAAAUCGUAUGACCGAUGAAAAAGUGAGUUUUAAAAUAUCUUGGAAACUUUCAAAUUUACAGCCCGCUAUAGUUUCAUCAACAGAAUUUUUUUUUUUUUAAAAUCAAGAAUUACAAAUUAAAAUUAAACAAAAAAAGGGAGUAUCGAACAUACGGCCCACCAUACUUCAUAAAAAGUACAUUUCAAAUUUUUUUUUUUUGUCAAAAAGGCCGAAGAGCACAGAAAGAGUAAGCAAACACAGGAGGCCCAAAAAUUAAGGUUACAGUCAAUAUAAGAGGCAUCCAAAAAUCAUGGCCGUUUGAAAAACAAUCAGGCGCACUUUCCAUGUUUUUUCUCCAGCAUCGAUAAAAUCUACUCCAUCCAUGAUGCACCCAACAUCUUAGCCAUGAAACUAUACCGGUCAGCAGCUUCGUCAAUCUGUUCAUACAAGGGGCAGAUAAACAAAUACAAUGAUUAUGGUACGACUAAUAAUCUAAUAGCAAAAAACAUCCUAUACUUACCAUUUUCUGGGUUGGACGUCCAGCUCCAUGCCCCGCCUUGCAUUCAAUGCGACCAAUAAUCGGAUUUGUCUGUGGGCUAUUCUCCAAACUUGUGAUCAGAACAUAUUGCAAGGUCUAAUGACAAAGACGAGCACACAUCAAUAAAAUAUUUUUGUUGAUAAUGAGUGAUAACGGUGAGAAUAUAGCAUUAAGGCCACCAGGUUUAAAUUCCCAUUCAUCUAUGUCUUAUGGAUUCUAUUUGCAAAAGAGACUAACCGCCAAUAACUUCAACGAGUGUAGUGGUACAACUCGGUCAUCAUGAUCCGCAGUCAAUAACAUGGUAGAUGGGUAUUGGUGAGGUUGGCUUGCAUGUUGUUCCCAUGGUCUCCUAACAUUGUGUAUAGGCGAGUACCUGAAAGCAGAAGGUAGAAUAGGGAGAGAUAAGCACAAGUUUAUAUUCGUAAGAAAACCCAGAAAUCUGAGCUUGUCCCAGAAACAUAAUAAACAUGAUCGCAAACCGCCUCGUAAGCAGAUUGAUGAAGAGAGGACUCAUAAUGCAUAAUCCCUCUUAUUCUAAUAGUUUCUCUCAUUCCAGAAACAAAAAUUAGCAAGGUAGUGAAAUACCUACUACUACAUUGUUUUAAAAAAUUACCAUACGUAAAACCGCAAGUUGCAAUCAAACACAUUAACACCACCAACAGUUGGACGUGGGAAAAAGUUAAAAAAAAAAAACACAUUACUCACUUAAUUAACCAACGGAACUCUUCCUCCUUGUCAGAGCAGCCAUAAUCAGAAGUCCAGGCGUGACCUGAAAACAUCUCUUAAAUCAGACAUAUGUUGACACAUGUACAGUAAAAGAAAGGAAAAAGAAAACACUCAGACCAUCUCCAAUGGUUCAUAUAAAGCUUAAAUAAUUUAAGUCUUAAAUCGCCCCAAACAAUUUCCAACCAUAGGGCUAAAAUAAGUCUUGAAGAGAAAAUAAAUCUUUGGUCUAAAUUGCCCCCAAAAAUUAAAAGCUUGGCUUAAAUCAUUCUGGACCCACCAAACUGUCUCCCAUGGAGGUGGGCUGCACAACUGAAACCCAAAUUCCCAAACCAAGCGCCACACGCCAACAAAGCACGGAGGGGCCCAUGCAACAGUCCUAUUUCAACUGUGAUCUAAUGGUCCAAAUAAUAUGACUGUUGGAUCAACCAACAGUCUUAUUUCAAACCUCUUUUUUUUUCUUUUUUCAUUUUUUACUUAAAAUCCAACAGCUAUGAUCAAAAUGAUAUCAAAUCUAACGAUUAAAAAAAAGAUUUGUCAGCCCAAAAUUAAAUUAAUGUCCUUAAAUUAAUUGAAAUCAAAUUUCACUCAAAAACUUUAUAAACACGUCUGGAUUUGUUCAACCAUCCAAAUCAAAUUCCACUUCCAAAACUAUUUCUUCCCUUUUCCAAACUUUUCAAGAUGUUGCUUUGUGCUUGGCAUGGGUUUCUAUUAGCAAAGAUGGUGCAAUCGGCAUAAACCAAAAUAAAAGGCUCGUGGGGUAAAAUCCUUGACAAAUUAAUUCCAUCUCCAACACCAAUCGAACUAAGGUGUUUACAAUCGAUGGAAGAGUAUCGGCACAACAUGUAACUUGUGGAAGGAAUGCUUGGAUAAAGCCAUGGUUAAUGCUAGUGGAAGGAUUUUGGAAGAAUAGGCGAGUGUCUCCCUUCAUAGUUUAUUUUUCAUAUGCACAAUUGUAUUUUCCAACUAAUUGAUCUUUGAUUAUUCCUUGCAUAGAUUGAGAAAGCAACACGAUUUACAAGACAAGGGUUACACCCCAAAACUCCGUUUUAAGUUGUUUAAUGCUUGGGAUCCUCAAGGAUUGUCCAAGGUGGCGAACCAAUGUGGAUCAACAAUGCAAAAAAUAUUUGUUAAUAAAGGCUCAAGCAUUAAUGUUGGCGAUGAUGUUGACAAAUUGGCGACCCAAUUUUCAUCUAUACAAGGCCGCCAGGACGAGAAAAGCAAAAGGAAGCAAAGAAAAAAGGGAAGAUACAAGAUGCAAGAUCCGAUAGGUGCCAAGCUUUGUUCCAAAGUUGAAAAAAUAAUUGAAAGGCGUGAGGAGACAAAAGAAAUAAAUCGUCCGAAUGCACUUACUCAUGGAGAAGCAAAUGGAAAAGGAAGAUGUAAGAGACCUUUUAGAGCAAGAAAGGUUCGAGUUUGAGGUAAUGAAGGAGAACCUCAACAAAUAUACUCUAAGGGGGAAGAAGUUCUUCUAUGAUAAGCAACCAGAAAUUUUAAGGCGCCAGCCAUGCCACAAAGAAUAUGUUCGAUUCAUCUAAUGUCUAUUGCCCAAGUCCACCACCAACUCAACCAACUCCCUAUGAAUACUAGUAUUAGUAAUUGUUGUAAUUUUUAUUUGCCAAUGUCUAUUGUUUUAAAUUUUAUGUAUUGUUUUAAUUAUCGUUCGUAUUAGUAAUUGUUGUAAGAUCGAAUUAUGAAUUUGUGUUUAAGAAUGAGGUAUGUGAUUUUUCAUUAUUUAUGGGAAUUUAAAUAUUUUUAGCCUAAAAUGUCCAUAAAAAUAAAUUAGGACAUGAUUCACAUAAAUUUUAGUUUUAAAAAAGUUACCUGAAAAAAAAGGCUAAUAUCAUUAUUUAAUAAUCUCGGGCUAAAAUUUUAAGCCAUAACCAUUGGAGAAGGGCAAUUUUUUGGGUUAUGGCUUAAAAUUUUAAGCUUCAUCCCCAACCAUUGGAGUUGGUCUUAGAGGAUUAAAAGGAAGCAAACUCACCUAUGGUAAACUUGUGGAACCGUAGCAUAUCCAUAACACCAACAUGAGCCAGUGCACAACCAAAAAGAUCAGGUCUCUGCAAGAAAGCAAAUUUUUAUUUUUUAUUUUAUUUCAUUUUCUUUAAUCACUCACAACAGGUUAAAUAGUAAACAAAACUCGCCUGAUUUAUGCAAGCUCCAACGAGCAGUCCACCAUUACUUCCACCUUCAAUACACAACUUGCUCGGUUGGGUAUAACCGGCAGAUACAAGGUAUUCAGCUGCAGAAAUGAAGUCAUCAAAGCAAUUUUGCUUUUUAGAGAGGGAGCCUGCUUUAUGCCAUUCCUCACCAUACUCUCCACCCCCACGGAUAUUGGCUAUGCAGUAAACAACACCUAAAUGCCUUGUAAGUACAAUACGACUAACACUGAAUGAAGGCGUAAUACUAAUGUUAAAUCCACCAUAUCCGUAUAGCAAGCAUGGAUGUGAUCCAUCCAAACUAAUGUUCUUUCUGGCCACAACAAACGUUGGUAUCUUAGUGCCAUCCUUACUGGGAACGAAUACCUGGAGAACGGAAAAUCCAAUCAAUGAAACAGCACUCGAACGUUCAAACACUAGAGAACUGAAGAUAUAUUAGAACUGAUUAAUGACAAAGUAGAAUGUACUAUGGUAAAAUGUUAUAACAAAAUGAAGAUAGAUUUGAAAGAGUCAGAUCAAGUUAGUGACAGUAAAUGUCGGUGCAACGAGCUUCUAAUACCUGAUCAACAUGGAACUCUGAGCGUUCAAACCCAGGAACCGUAAUUUCGCGAAAUACCUUCAAGUCUGGAAUUUCAUUGUCUAGAUUACACUGAUAUAUUAUACCAGGGGUAAGAAAACUUGUAAACCCAAAAAAAACUGUACUGUCUUCACGUCUUGCCGAAAUCCCAUUAACCGAUCCAAUGUCAAUCGGUAAUUGAUGCAGCAAGUUACCUGAUUUCAAAUCCCUUACCUGUACAACAUACUUCACAUCACUCAAGUAACUAACAAUCAUUUGGGUACCAUUUACAGCAGACGCUGAUUCAAGAACAUCUUUUUCAGAUUCUGGGAGAACGUCAGUCCAAACAGUUGGUUCCUUCAGAUCAACUCGGACCAACUUAUAUUUUGGAGCAUCCUUGUUUGUCAGAAGAGUAAACACAGUUUCAUCAUUUGCACGUGCAUCAAAUUUAUCAAUAACCUUGAUAACUGGCAGUAAAUCGUUUUUCCCCCUUAGACCUUCAAGACCAUUAGGAAGUGCAGACAUGUCACAGUAAUAAAAUUUGUUGACUGGGUCGCAACCCUCCGCAACAUACAGAAGAAUAUACUGCAGAUUACAAGAAAAUAAAAGAAAAGUUGGUAAAAUCGCAAAAAUAUGGAGACAAAAAUUGACAUAUCUUCAUUUCAAAAACAACACAUAUUACUACUGCUUCAACAAUAAGAAAAUGAGAGCCAUAAAACCCAGGAAGAUAAUAAAUCUACUUACUUUCCCAUCAACUGUAACAUCAGCUCCAAACGUGUAUUUAGGAUUUUCAGAAUCCCUCCAGCAUAAUAUGUCUUCUGAUUGAUCUGUACCCACAAAAUGAUAGUAUAAUUCGUGAUAAAGAUUUGUGUUGGUCUCUGUCCCAGCAUCAAUAUCUUCUCCUUCUCUACAGAAUAAAUGAGCAGGCUAAGUAUUUAAUUUCACUAUUUUACAAAGCUUUUGCAAUCAAGGAAAUCUCAAAAUAAAUCUAAGAUAGCUAUCCACUGCCAUAGUCUCUGUAACAUCAUAUCUACAUUGCUAUACUCACAUCCCAAACUUAAGCACAGCAGAGCCUUGCAAUUGCCAAACCAUCUAUAGAUCUUCACCAAAUAAGUAAAGCAACAAUUUAUACACCACUUCUGUCCCUUUCUUUUAACUUUUUGUCAUUAAUUUUUUACAACUGAAGUUUCAAACUAACAGCCAUUCUGAUUAUAUAACCGCAUAAAAAUCCACAUGUCACACUUUAAAGUAAAGAUACUGAAUGCUUCUUACUUUGGAGCUGGAUAGCGGCUGUAGAAAAACCCUUUAUGAUCAUGUGUCCAGCAAAUAUCCGAAAACUUGACCUGGAAACCAACAUUGACAAAAAAUCGUAAGCUCAGAACGACAAAUAGUCUCACUGAUAACACUCGUUUCUAAUUACAUCAAAACAAGCGUAAACUCAGCACUUACCCAAGAUAUAGUUUCAGGCUCGACCGCCUUAUCCUCAACCCGCAUCACUUUAAUCGUUGCCCAAUCACUGCCACUUGAACUAAGGGCAUAGGCCAAGUACUUGGCGUCCUCACUAAUUGAAUAAGUGUUCAAAGAAACAGUCCCAUCUUCGCUAAGCGUAUUUGGAUCAAGCAACACGUCUGCUUUUCCAUCCAAACUAUCCUAAAACCACAAAUUACACCCCUAAAAAACACAUACAAGGAAAAAGAAACAGACGAAUAUAUCGAAUGGAUGAAAGCAUAUGCAGUUGGUACUCAAAUUCUGAGGCAAAGGGAAAACCUGCACGUAGAGGACACUUUGGGCUUGAAGCCCAGUGUUGUGGGUGUAGAAGUACUUAUUCCCUCGCUUAAGAGGUGGAUCAUAACGCGGGUGAUCGAAAAGCUGGGUGAUCUUUUCCCCAAGCUGCCCUCUCGUAUCGCAUUCCUUCAGAACCGACUGCGUCAGUUCUACUUGUUUCUGUACGAACUCUUUCGUCUCUUCGGAGUCGGGAUCCUCAAGCCUAAACGAUGGAAGAAAACUCCAAAAUUCAAUCAAAUUCUUUGAAAACAAAAAAUGGGCGAUUAAAAUCUUCAACCCUAAAAAAGUGGAGUUGCUUGUAUUACCAUCUGUAAGGAUCGGCGACCUUGACGCCGUGGUAGUCGUCAACGACGGACUCGUCUCGGCGGGCGGUAGGGUAGUGCAAGGGGACGUCUAGGGCACGGAGGGAACCCAUUGCGUUCGUGUUUCUAGGUUUUGGGAGAGAGGAGGAGGAGGAGGAGGAGAGAGAACGAAUUGGAAAUGGAAUUGAUUUGAGAACUAGAGGUGAUGAAGGCGGCGGUGUUAUUAUAGACGAUGACGUGUAUAUGAAAGGGGCAGUGGUAUGUCGAGCAUAUGACAACAUGGCUUGCGCCCAACGCUUAACGCUUGGUUUGUCGCCCAGAAUAUGCGUUCAUUAUGUGUUGGUUUAUGUCGCCAUAAUUUUUUACUAGUAGCCCUUUUAAGCCAGACCACACAAGCAAAAAGCAUUGAAUCCCAUGACUCUCAUAAUUGUGGUUCGAUGGUUUAUUCCAAUAAAAAAUGUAAAAGAUGAUUAAUACGUUAACUUUUUAUAAGCUAUGUCAUUUUACGAUAACGCAUUAUGAAAUGAAUUUAAGACCCAACACUUAUCUUAGUAUUAGUUGCUUGAAUUUCUAUCCAAGAAAUGAAUCCGGGCCCGACAAUUGUUAUUUUUAAGGAUGAGAUGACCCAUAGAAUCAUAAUCAUAACACACUGAUUCCAUGAACAAAUCUUAAUUAACACAUGGUGAUAGUAAGUUAUAAUAUGGUAAUGUUGCACAAGUACAAGAUUAUUGACUAAGGAUAGUGUUACAUGCAUCUUAGUUUUACUUCCCACAUAUUUUUUGUUAAUUUAUGUAUAGAUAACACCACCAUUAAUUAACCUCAAUGUCAAUAGUUAAAAGCAAGAUUUCCUUAAACAAGGGAUGAAGCACGUCCGCAUACCACAUUCAUCUCAUAAUUCCCUAAACAAGAUUUCCUUAAACAAAAUCUGGACUUUCAUAUCUAUUCCUGUGCAUGAUCAAUCAUGUGUAGAUAUUAGAUGCGCACACAGAAUAUGCAGAGAUCAACACAUUCAUUUCUUGUUGCUUUUUUUCAAAACCAAUAUGGACUAGUUAUUUUGAGGCUUGGUAAGUCAAAUUUUCAACCAUCGUUGUACUUUUCCAGAAUGUCUAGAUUUUAUCCAUGUUGAGUGCUGUCGUUUUUGAAGUUUAGAUUCAUCUGUGUUCGAAUUGGAUAUCCUUUCCAGUUAGGGGUCUAGGCAUGAGAUGGCUAAGUUAGGCGAAGUCAUUUACCGUCUCAUAGCUUCUGAUCGGUUGUCCCCAGAACGCCUUCUUGAUUACAUGGACCUCUCAUCGGAAUACACCACUAUGGAAAUAGCAAACAGGAUUGAGGCUGCUGUGCACAUUUGGAAGCAUAAGCACGCAAAACCCCGUCUAACUCAUGUAAAUUCUGCAAAGUCAUCCUGGGGUGCAAAGUUCAAAGGUUUUGUCAAUUACGUAGAAAAGAGUAAGCUUCUCACGUAUAGGGCAGGUACCCUCUUACAGAAUCUGAAAAUACUGUUCCCUGGCCUCCCACAGACCGCUCUGGACAUGAACAAGAUUCAGUACAACAAGGUAUGCGCCUAACAAAUUUUAUCAUCUUUGCUCGAAUACAAGUGAGCACAUUUUCUCUUCAGUCACAAGCAUGAACAAAAAUAUUGAAACUGGAAGAUUACUAAUUCAAUGUUAUGCAUGAGGAGUCUGUUUGCUCCCUAAAUCCGCCAUGGGGCCUUGUGGGCAAGCCGGGGAUUUACUUCACAUACGAGAUUGGUGGGUGCGGGCGUGCCACUACUAGAUGCCGCUAGUAGACGGGAUUUGAAUGAUUGAGGUUGCACCUUUUGACUUCAAAUCAAGAGAUUGUGUCAUUUGAGUGGGAGUUGCUCAAAUUAAGGUUCUUUGUUUGCCUUAAAAAUAAGGACUUUACUUAUAUGGAGAGAUAGAACAAUAUGUAAAUGAUAAGGUUGCUUGGAAAUAUAAAUGACAAAGGAAAGUGACUAAUAUUGCAGAUUGCUUGUAAUUAUAUGAUUGGAAAUGAGUACAUAAAAACUACAAAUCAGAUCGAUACUACAAGUGAGUAGCAAAGCUAAUAAACAAGAAAAGCAAAGGAUACUUGGCUAAAAAUAAAUGUCUACAAGGAAGCUGAUAAGCUAAUUUGAGUAGAGUUUUGAUUGGUUGUUGUGAGUGUCCAUAAUCCUUGUGCUUGUGCUCCUUUAUAUAGAGGUCUGGAAGAAACCCCCUGCUGAGGUUUUUGUACUUGCUCGAAAGAAGCUUGGGCAGCUUGUAUUGUGAAAUAUUUAGAAUAAGCAAGUUUGAAUCUCCACCACAUAUCUCCACUACUUGUAAUAAAUUAAUAAUAAAAAGAAGCAAGCUGUCUUCUUUCACAUGCCUCCUGGAAGAAUGUCUGCAUGCUUUUCCAAUCAACUUGAAGGCAUGCAAAUCUCCACCACCCAAACAAAUUGGAGAAACAAUAUUAUAAUGUCCACUUGCAGCCAAAUAUUUUUCUAAGCUAGCCUUCUUGCAUAAUAAUCCUCCAAAUGCCAUAUUUUACCCCAAUGACCCAAAUAAGUAAAAAUGGGCAUAUUUUGAGUGCAAACAGUGCCCCCAAGUUUUACAAAUUUGAGCAAAGUUUGUGAAACUUACAACUCCACUGCUACCAGGAAUGAUGUCGAAGCUACCUCUUCAGUCUUUCUGUUGUUGAUAACUUCGGCAAGAGGAGCAAGGCAAAUUGGAAAGAAUGUUGUCUAGCUUGUGCUCCUUCUCGUUGAUACCAAAAAAAUGUGGGAGCAUCCUUAUUGAUUACAAAAAUAGUAAACUAAAAAAAUGCCCGAAGUCGGGCAAACUGGAAAAUAAAUGAAUAACUUGGGCAACUAUUUUUUUUUGUCUUUUUCCUAUAUCUUUUUCUUUUUGCCUCUUUAUUUAUAUAUAUAAAGCUCUUUCGGGCAGAGCACCUUUUUUUACUCUUUAAGUAUAAGAUAUACAGGGAGCUUAAGGGGAGGGAUCUCCAUUUUUUCAAAAAAAAUGGGGAUACGCUCCCCACCGUUAGAUUGACUUUAAUGAAAUUGUGUGGUUGAGAUUAAAACACAGGCCAUAGAAUCUCGACCACAGGAUUUCAUUUAAUUCAAAUCCAACGGUGGGGAGCGUGUCCCCAUUUUUUUGAAAAAAUGGGGAUCCCUCCCCUUAAGCAAUUCCAUAAGAUAUAUAUAGUAUUAUUGGGUAAUAGUGACAGACAAACAUGGAGAAAGAGAAAAAAGGGAAAAGAGAGAAAAAAGAGAAGGGAAGAGGGACCACACUAUUUCUGGCAACAAAGAUCAGAAGAGACAAGGAAAACAAGAGGAAAGAUAGAGAAAUAAGAGAAAGAAAAUGACAGCCACUUGGGCUUCGGGCUACAAGAAGAAAAGCAGCCAGUCUUAUAUUAUAAUAUAAGAUAUAUUUUUUUUGUUUCUUUUCAGUACUUUUCUUCUAUAUGUAUAUAUAUAUCCCACUUGAUCAAAGUAAAGACAAUAGACUUUAACAGAGACACGGAGAAAGAGAAAGGAAAAGAAAUAAAAAGAGAAGGAGACAGAGGAAGAGAAAGAAAUAAUAAAAAAUAAAAAAGAAGAAAAAGGGCGAGACCCUCUUUCAGACCAAAGGAAAACAUAAGAGAUAAGAGGGAGAAACAGGAAGAAAAAUGAAGAAAAGGAAGACGACAGGGAAAGAGAGAGAGCCUUACAGUCUUGUAUGAUUAGUGCUCACACACUCCUCUCCCUAGCCAGCAAAAAUCCAGAGUUCUCUUCCCAUACCAAGAGAUAAUCAGAUUGCAUUUGUUGCUCACUUAUCCGUUCCAUUGAGCUGCACUGGAAUUUGCUAUGCUGGUUGAUGUUCUUCGCCCAAGCUGUGAUUCCAAGACACCACCCAUGUAUUCGUUCUGGAGCCACAGCGCCACCCCGGGCUCAUGGGAUUUCCUCGCGCUGUCUUCCCCAUUUUUGGUUUUUUCGCUGCUCGCCUCAUUUUGACAGAUUCAUCUUUCGCAAAAUUUCCAUCUGGUCGUUGAGGAAAAGGCCUGCUCCAUUGAAGCAUGAGUCAUAGUUUGGGAAGAGUAUAAUAUUCUGAUGGCGUCAUCUUGGAUGGCAGAAUGACCGAGAAAAGCUCCGUCGGUCAUUCGGGCAAACUUCAAAAACAGUUUUCUGUACUCUUCCUCCAACCCCAGCUAUUCAACUUAAUCUGAGAACCCAAAUAAGAAUAUCAGGUGGCCAUUGAUUUUUAUACGACUUGUUGAUGGGAACACCGUUGAUCAGAGCUGGUGAAUGGUUACCAACAGCUCGUUUUGUAAUGGAGGAAGCAUGUUGCUGUAACCGCCGCAUGUCACUAAUCUUUGAUUGCUGCCUAAGCAAAGACUACAUCAUGUGGACCGUCUAUGUGCUCUUGACCAAUGAAUUAGGGAUUCUGAAGCCUUUUAAUUUCAUCAAAUUACUCUUAUGCCCAGGGCCACUUCCUCUUUGUGAUUUUGUCGGGCAAGGUUAUAGCUCCAUCAGGGAUUAGCGGGCAAGAUAGCCCAGUCAGGCAAGAUACUCAUGCUCUAGUGACAACGGCUUCCAACGGGUUCAUUCUUUCAUACGGCUCCUCCUUUUACAAAUGGCCAUGACUUCUUAUCUUUGGGAUAUAUGAGCAUCAUAUAUUUGCUCCAUUUCCCAAGUCGCUCGAUUGCUGCCAUUGUCUUGAGUUCCACCAAGAAUAUUGCCAGAACUUCUUCAAGAGUGGUUGAUCUCCAUACAUUGUUCGCCAAAGCCCUCGGGCAAGAUUGUGGCUUUCGUCGGGCACCAGCAAUUGGGCAAGAUAACCCUAUGCUCCUCUUGCAAUAGCCAUUGAGAAGCUAUUUGAUAAGUUUUUUAGCAGGAAAGCCAUAAUUUUGGCUCUUAUGAAGCUCCUCAUUCCAUGAAUCAACUGCUCAGAUCUUUAUAUUUUCUGUUUUUUUUUUAUAUAUAUAUAGCUCACAACCCAAUUCGGGCAACAUAAAGAAAGAGAGAACAAGAAAAAGAAAAGGAAAGAAAAAGAAAGAAAGGAAAAACAAAAGAGAGAGAGAGCGCCCUUUCGGGCUGACUGAAACAACAAAAGAAAGGAACAAAGAAAGAGAAAGAGAAAGCCCCCCAGCAAGAAAGCCAGACAAAAACAAGAAAGUAAGAAAGCAAGAAAGCAAAAUCCUUUUGUGGUUUUUGUAAUUUGUAAUUUGUAAUUUCUUUUUCUUUGCGACAUCAUAAUAUAAAAAAAAAACACAAAGCCCUUUCGGGCAAAUAGAAAAAGAAAACACAAAGCCCUUGCCAGGCAAGUUUGAAAAAGACAAAUAAAAAGAAAGACUUGUCAGGCUAUUAAAAUAGUAAAACAUAAAAAUGACAAAAGCCCUUUCGGGCAAACCAACACCAAAGGAAGAAAGCCCUUAGUUGGGCAACAGAAAUGCCCACUCGGGCAAAUUACCAAAGCAAGCCAUAUUUUUUUUUUAUAUUUUUCUUUGUUGUCUUUUUUCAAAGCUAUACAUAUAAUAUAAUAUAAUAUAAUAUAAUAUAAUAUACACAAACAAAAAGCCUUCGGGCAACACACUUUUAUUAUAUAAAAUAUAUAUCAAAAACUAUAUAUAGCCCUUUCGGGCAACAUUUUAUAAAAUAUAUUAUAAUACUAUAUAUAUAUAUAUAUAUAUAUAUAUAUCCCUUUCGGGAGCAAUUUGACUACAUAAUAUAAUAUAAUAUUAGAUAUAGAUACAUAGAUAUAAAAAUAAUCUUUUCGGGAAGCAGAAAGACAAGUGAGAAAGAAACAGGAAGAAACAUAAAAAAUAAAGAAAAGAGAGAAGAAAGAAGAAAAAGAAAGGGGGAGAAAACAAGAUAAAGAAAGAAGCAGGAAACCUACUUUGGGCAGAAGAGGAAACAAAACAAGCCCUAUUCGGGCACAUUGGUCAACCCCUUGAUUGCCCAUAUAUCUCUUAACACUUAAAUCUUUUUCUCUUUUUAAAAUUGAGUGUAGAGAGAUCGGAUCCUCCAUUUAAAUUGGUCAUGCCAUAUAGCUUGGGAACCAUAGGAGGUGGCCAUUCAUGUUUGAUCUCAAGCUUUGCUCUCCUUGAGAUCUUGAUAUAGACGACAUGCUCGUGUUGGCGGGGAGGAGUGUAUGAGCUUUUUUCUUCUUCUUCGGGCUCCACAUGAGGUGUGAGUUCGAGCCCCCCGAGCGUUGGUGUUUGGCCUACAAUAGCCAUAAGCUCCAUCUUAGCCGUUAUCGGUUUCAAUAUGUCGGCUUGGUCUCCUACAACCAUAUCCAUUUUCAUGGAUUUUUCAUUGAGUGGGGCCAUUGUUUGGCCUUCAUCAACGUGUAUGAUUUGUUCUUCCUUGAUUGUAAGAGGGUGAGUGUGCUUUGUAGAGGGGAUUCGACAUAUUUGAUCUAUCAACUUUCUCAAAGUUUCUCCAAAAGUUGUAUAGCUUUCCUCCACCCUUUUAAAACAGUUGGCCACCUCUUCACCAUAUUCGAUGCUUGCCACCUGGAGUUUGGACACCUUCUCUAAUUUGCCCACAUCUUCUUUGUAGAGCUUUUCAUCUGGAUGAUCAUGAGUUGGCAUCUCAUAUAUUGGCUCUAUGUACUCAUUGGAAGCAUUUUGAUACUCAAAACCAUUUGUUGGCCUAUCAUAAUACUCAUGAAUGUGAUUGCCUUCAAAAGAAUAAUAACCUUCAUCAUAGCCAUAAGUUGGCCAAUCUUCAAGAUUAUUAUUUAUUUGAUGGCCAUGAGUUGGCCGACAAUCAUACUCCAUAGGACUUAGUAUCCUUCAGCCAUGUACCCAUAAGUUGGUAACUCAUAGGUUGGCUCUAUGUGAUAGCCAUAGCUUGGGCGCUCUUCCACACCGUCAUCCUCCAAAAAAGCAGAAAAAUCAUGAACAUAAGGAUUGUUCAUGAUCUAACUUCAUAUAAGUGUCCCACCGAGUGUGCCAAAAUAUGUUUGCUCCCUAAAUCCGCCAUGGGGCCUUGUGGGCAAGCCGGGGAUUUACUUCACAUACGAGAUUGGUGGGUGCGGGCGUGCCACUACUAGAUGGGAUUUGAAUGAUUGAGGUUGCGCCUUUUGACUUCAAAUCAAGAGAUUGUGCCAUUUGAGUGGGAGUUGCUCAAAUUAAGGUUCUUUGUUUGCCUUAAAAAUAAGGACUUUACUUAUAUGGAGAGAUAGAACAAUACGUAAAUGAUAAGGUUGCUUGGAAAUAUAAAUGACAGAGGAAAGUGGCUAAUAUUGCAGAUUGCUUGUAAUUUAUAUGAUUGGAAAUGAGUACAUAAAAACUACAAAUCAGAUCGAAACUACAAAUCAUAUCGAUACUACAAGUGAGUAGCAGAGCUAAUAAACAAGAAAAGCAAAGGAUGCUUGGCUAAAAAUAAAUGUCUACAAGGAAGCUGAUGAGCUAAUUUGAGUAGAGUUUUGAUUGGUUGUUUUGAGUGUCCAUAAUCCUUGUGCUUGUGCUCAUUUAUAUAGAGGUCUGGAAGAAACCCCCUGCUGAGGUUUUUGUACUUGCCCGAAAGAAGCUUGGGCAGCUUGUAUUGUGAAAUAUUUAGAAUAAGCAAGUUUGAAUCUCCACCACAUAUCUCCACUACUUGUAAUAAAUUAAUAAUAAAAAGAAGCAAGCUGCCUUCUUUCACAUGCCUCCUGCAAGAAUGUCUGCAUGCUUUUCCAAUCUACUUGAAGGCAUGCAAAUCUCCACCACCCAAACAAAUUGGAGAAACAAUAUUAUAAUGUCCACUUGCAGCCAAAUAUUUUUCUAAGCUAGCCUUCUUGCAUAAUAAUCAUCCAAAUGCCAUAUUUUACCCCAAUGACCCAAAUAAGUAAAAAUGAGCAUAUUUUGAGUGCAAACAGAGUCUUAUUUGAAAAAAAAUGCAUGUUGUUGUCUUGUAUUGUUGUUCUCUAGUCGGAAAAUUAUGCUGUGAAUUUUAUGUUCUAAUCGGAAGAACUUAAUUUCCCGCGUGCUGCAGCAUGUGGGGCAAUCGAUCCUUGAGAGCUACUGUAGGGUGAUGGAAAGCAUAUCCUUCGACAUAAUGGCAAGGAUAGAUGAUCUACUAUAUGUAGAUGGUAGCACCAAACAGCAGGCAGCUGCGGAGUCUACGUCUCUGUAUGACCAGGGAAGGAUUGGUGGCACAUUGCCAAAACAAAACAGAAGCGGAUAUCACCCAGUCCUUCCUCAAUUCAUCGUACCUCUUCCAUUAUAUUAUCAGCAUUGGAUCCUCCUGUGAAUCAGAUAGGUUGAAGCCCCGGUGGAAGGACACAUAAUAAAUCAACAAAGAAAAGUAAUUUCAGCGACGCGCUGGAUGAUAAGUUAGAACAGUUAACCUUUUGAUGAUGUUGAAAUAGUAAGCUGACCAGUUUCUCUGUGAUAUGUAGCCAAUAAGGUUAGUAUAUGAUACGCUGUGUUUUAUUACUCUAUGAUCCAGUAACAUAGCCAGAUAAUCCGAUGCUUAACUAACUAAUGCAAUCACGAUGACCGAGAAAUGCCAUGUCCAAGUGUUACCGUACAAUCUGCUGCAAAACUUGUUUAUACAAAUGCACGGACAAACAAAACUUAAUUAUUUAGUCCAAAAAAAAAAAACCACACGUUGCCAAAGAGAGUCGAUGUCUUCGAAUGAAGAAACAACACGCCAAAGAACCUGAUUUUUUUUCUGCGCAAAUUAUUAUGUGUUUAGGCAGAUCCAAAUCCAUAAUAUGAAGCCCAAACAAGCCCAUUUGCGUUUUUCUGUACUUGGGCUAAUGGGCUCAUUUGUAUUCUUCAUAUGAUGUUAGACUUAAUUUAAGAUAAGAUCCCCUUGAUAACUUAUUUCUUUUUUGAUAAUGUUUGUGUCCAUUGUCAAGGGAACAUCAUAAUCGAAAUUGUUAAUUCUCUUUAUGAUCAUCUAAAAAUUAUAUAUGUAAAAAUCAAUUAUUUUGGAGAUUGGUUAGUUAUCUAUGCGUGUUAAACCAAUCAACAGUUUUGAUAACAAAUGACAUCUUCAUGAUGAAUCUUCCAUUUGUUUUAUGCAUAUGAAUAGCUAAAAGAUCUCCAAAUUGAAUAUUGAAUGGUUCCGAUUAUGAUGUUUGGACGGUAAAGAUUCGUUAGUCGUAAAUGAAUGACAAAUAAGUCAUUCCAUAUAGGAAUACGACCAUUAUCCUUUGUUUUUAGUUUUCAAUUUGUGCGAUAAAGAAUAGAGAUAGAGGAAAAGUUCAUGGGAAAAAUAAAGAAUGGACAAGGAUGAAGGGAGGGUUAGGACCGUAGGAGGAAUGAGGAUGAGGGGGAACUGGAGAAGUGAAGUAGAUAAUAUCAAAAUAAUUAAUACUUCAAAUUUUUUUUAUCUGUUGAUUAUUUUCAUUUUGUGUCGAUUCAUGUACAUUCAUUUUAUAUCCGUUCCACCAUUCUUCUUUGACCCUUUUUCAUUUUCCUUUAAACCCGCUUGCUUUUUUUUAUAGACUAUACAUAUGAUACGAAAAAUAAAAACUAAAAACUAAAAUUGAAUGGUUAUCAAAUUAUUCCUUAAUUAAUAUAUACAUUUUACACGAUAAUAAAACAUACAAUCUAAAAAAUUAGUAGGAUUUAUAAAAUAAAUAAUGGUUUGACAAUAAUAACAUUUAACAAAACCAGGAAUCUGAAUUUGACUCAGUUAGGAAAAUGGUAUUCUCUUAUAACAUGUUAUGGAACUUAAUAAUAAUGAAGAAAUAGCAUUCAUGAUGAUCUUCAAUAUUUUAAGGGAAUUGUUAUUAGUACUUUAAAAAUUUUAUUUUACACUUCGCACCAAUGCAUUUUUCUUUAUAAUUACAGAAAGUUUAAAAUGUUAUAUAAGAUUUUUUUAGUACUAAUAACAAUUCCAUAUUUCAAACUAUUGACAAAUAUCCCUUACUAGUGUGCAUUAUGCAUAAAAUGCAUGAAAGACAUCCCUCUUUACAUAACCACAUAAUAUUAAUUUACUAUAAUUGUUAUUUUAUUAGACAUAUAUAAAUAACUAAACGAUUAUUAAAUUAAAUAAAAUUUUAAAAAUAAUUUUAAAGUGAUAAAUAGAAUAACUGGUUUAAAUGAUAAUAUUUAUAUGAUAAAAUGAUGUUGUCACAUCAAGAAAUAACCACUUGCAUGCAAACAGUAAAAUAUUAUCAUUUCUAAAAGAAAGAGAAUAUACUUACUGAUCCAUCAUCCAUGUGGAGUUAGAGAUGAAGAGGGAGUAAGGUCUAAAAUAUCGAUUAUAUCGGAAAUAUUGGUAGUUCAAAAACAUAAAAAUGUCUAUGGAAAUAUCGGGAUAUUAUCAAUAUCGAUAAAAACCACGCAAAUUGUAAGAAAAACUUGGAAAUUUUUAUUGAAACUUUGCAGGAUGUUUAUUUAGUCAAUUAUCUAUUAGUUUAUUACAAAAAAUUGGAAGGAAAUGCAUUGCAUGAUAGAUUUAAUUUAUUUAAGUUGAUUAUAUAGCGAGCUGGCAAACAUUGUGAGUGUAGAAAAUAUGUAGUAAUUAAUGAAAGAAGUUUAAAUACACCAUAAUCAUUUAUAUAUAAUGAAUUAGUACAAUAUUUUACACUUUAUACAUUGCAUGGUAAAAUACAUGAGUGACUUAGUACCACAUAAAGUUCCUAUCAAGGUCUAAAAUAUCGAUGAUAUUGGAAAUAUCGGUAGUCCAAAACACGAAAAUAUCGGGAUAAUAUCAAUAUUUUAGACCUUGAGAGGAAGAGACAGGCAUGCAGUAAUUCGCCAACAUCACCAUCAACAUAAGAUCGCCAUAUCCCUCAUCAUUCUUGGGAGAAAACUCAAACACAAAUAUUAUGGCUCCCAACCCUACAACCAAACGACAACCCCGCAAAAACCUUUUAGAUUUUUACAAAUAGUUUCCAUCUAUAGUAUAAGUGAUAUAAAAACAAGGAAAGAAUUCUCAUAUUUUAAUCGUUUAUCAUGCGGUCUUUUUUCAUCAGGUACUAUUUGUAUUUAAUUUUAAGUAAAAAAGUCAAAUAAUGUCUGAUCGCACGAUGCACGAUAAAUGAUUAAGAUGUGAAGAUCCAUAAGAUCCUCACAAUUUGAAUCUAGAUAGGAUCCAUAUCCAAAAACCAAGGACCAAACCCUACAAUCAAACCAGUCUCUCUUCGUCUCUCCUUUGCAAAAUUUUCAAAAUUUAAUUAAAUGUGAAAUGUCUAAGAGCAUCUUCCAAAAAAACCUUUAAAUUUUUAUUAAGUUAGUAAGUAAACGGUGUUAAAAGUUUAUUUUAGCCACUCGGUUUAACAUUGAGCAUUUGAUUAAUGGAAGAAGAUCCUAUUCGGAUUCACUUUGUGAAAAUCCUAGAGAUUCCCACAUCCUAAUCGUUUAUUGUACGUGACCAAUUUUUAUCAGGUAUUAUUUGUGUUUAAUUUAAAAUAAAAAAUUAAAUAAUUUCUGACCGUAUGAUGCACGAUGAAUAACUAAAAUGUGAGAGACCUAGGAUCCCCACAAUUUGAAUCCGAAUGGGAUUCAAAUCCAUGAUUCAUGACUAUGAAUUUAAAAAACAACUGUACUUUAUUUAUUAUAUAGAAUUCAUUAUAGAGUGUGUCCGCGAUGAAUUUUUUAAAUUAACUAUUUAAAGUAGUUUUACAAGUUUUGUUUAGAUGCUCUAAUAUGUGAGGAAACGCUAAGACUACGAGAAGAGAGAGAGUGGGGAUCCACUAGAAAAGAAACAUCCAUAGCUCACGCACAAUCAUAAAAAAGGGUGGAUUAUUCCAGUUCCAUGCAUCGAGUUCUGCGAUAUAUCUUCUUCUAGCUCUCUUUUGAGUCCUCCGCUUUCCAAAAUUGAACGACUAGUCAACCACAUUUCAAAACAGUGCUACAUUUAAUUGAUCAUUUGACCUUUGGUAAAGUAAAUAUUAACUUCUGUUUUCAUGAAUAAAUUUUAUGUUGAGCAAUUCCCUUUUGUUAUAUAUGUUGCAAUUGCAAAUCGAAAUAUUCGUGCCCACCAGCCCAUAAUUCCAUUGCCACCAUCGAUCCUAAUAUAAAUACACUUUUUCAAAAAGGAAACAGAAGAAGAAAAGUAGGGAUAAAAGCAGGUUAAGUUGCACACGGAGAGAAAGAGUAGAGGAAACAAAGCGCAUGAACUUUUUUCUGGGCUGAUUAGAUCGACUAAUUAGGAGUAGGAGGCAGAAAACUAAAAGGACCGAAAAGUUUACUCCAUCUGUUUAUUUCUUUCGAUUCUUGACCUUAAAAUUUAUUUUGAUUUCUCACGUCCAACAGAAACAGAUACAGUACACAGUGUUUAAAGUUUUGUAUGCUUAAUUUGCCUUUUAAAAGUUAAGCCAUAUUAUUAAUUAAUAUAUUUUGAGUGUAACUUGUAUCAUAUAUGACUCAUGUAAUUCUCUAUGGCACCAGCUAGAGAGGAGUAUUCUAUGGGAAAUAACUUUAGUUAAUUUGAAGAGAAGUUUUCUGUUGCAUGAUAUAAGAGCAAGUCCACCCCUAAGGAUUUUGUGCCAGCACUCAGCGCAUUUAUCCACUCAAUUGAACAGUAAUAGACCUCAGUAAACAGUAAUAGGCCAAAGCAUCUCCACCCCUAAAAAUACGCUAGCACCCAGUAUAUCUAAUAUUAUAUUAUUUUAUUCAUAUCAAUUAAUAUUUUAUCAUUUAUUUUAUUUUUUAUUUUUUCUUCUUUCUUCCUUUCCCUCUCCGAUCCUUUCUUUCUCUCUCUCUCUCUCUCUCUCUCUCUCUUUUCCAGCUCACUCCCGUGAGCUCUCCUUCUCCUUCCUCUUCAAAACCUUCCAUUUCUGCACGCCAUCCACCCUUGCAUCUCCGACGCCAUCCACCCCUGCAUCUCCGACGCCGUCGACGCCGUCCUCCUGCAUCUCCACACCUCCGACGCCGUCGCUUCGUCCUCCCGUCGUUCUCCCUCCGUGGUUCCUUCCCUCCCGACAUCCUCUCCCGCCUCGACCAGCUCCGCUCCUCAGCCUCCACAACAACUCCCUCUCUGACGUCAUAUGCCCUCCGACGUCACACUGACGUCAGAUAGGCUGGUCCCAAGGUCUGUCGAUUUUAGGCCGGCCUGUGGACUGGCUUGGGCUGGGUGCCAGUCGAUUUCACAGGCUGGAGUGAAUUGACAGGGUGCCAGCCUGGUUUUUUGACUGGGUGCUGGGCUCUCUUCUUCCCGGUGGAAUUGCUCUAAGUGAAGAGAAGUUUUUUUUCAAAUAUCAUUCUAUUUGUAAUAUAACACGUGGUGUACUGACCUUUAUAUUCCAUAUACACUAAAAAAUUUAUCCUUGGUGAGUAUGUUUGGUAGUUCAAUUAAUAAAUAUUCCUAACUACAAAAUUAAUCAAUAUUCCUAAUUACUUCAACAUCGUUUGGUUUUUGGUUACACCUACAAGUUACACGACCCUUUAGUCUUCAUACGUAGGCAAGGGAAGGUGGAUAAGAGAAGAGAGCUUGUUGAAGGUUGCAUUGGAAACCCUAGCUAGGGUUUUGAGAAAAACUAAUGUUGUGGGAUCGAUCGUUCACUCUCUUUUCCAGAUGAUCAGUUGAUUAAUAAUAGCUCUGUCUAAAGUUUAAACUUUAAAAUCACUGACAAUUUCUUCUGGAAAAUGGCAAAACAAGCGUGAAGUGUGAUUAAGUAAUUUCUUUGUCCCAAUGAUUCAAUCAUACCACUUCUGACAGAAACUCAGCCAUGACAACUGGUAUGGACGCAGAGAGAAAGAGAGCGACUAAUGGGACGUUGACAGGUCAGAUGAGAACAAAAUAAUGUCAAUUUUCAGUCGAUGAACAUUUAUUCUACGUGGGAGUGGGAUCCUAAUUUCUACUCUUCUGGUACUUCUGAAUAGUUCCUUCCUUCCUUCCUGUGAAAACUUUGAAACUGUGAAAAUAUUUAUUGGGCAUGGACCGUAUAGUUGGAGGGUAGUUUGAAUCAAUAAAUAGUACAGAGGUUGGGUUGGUCCAUAGUAAAUGCAUGCGGAUUGCUAAUUGUGACUGUGAGGGAGAUUUAGUUUGUGGAAGUUUGCUCUUAGAAAUAAAUAAAUAAAUAAAAUAAGCACAUAUUAUGAUCUAGCAGGGAAGUAAUAAACUGAGGAAGAAGAUGAUGGCCUGGGAAGUGAUUUUGAUGAAAGCAUAUGGGUUGGGUUGUGGGUGUCAUGAGUAGGACGUAUCAAUCGACAAAGGGAAAGAUUUGUUGUCUGAAAUUAACCUCUCAGAGACUACUCGAUGCUAUACAAAUUUAAAAAGCAAGCGCUGCACAUGAUGCAUAGCAUACACAUAGUGGAAUUAUGGAAAGGAAGCACUAAGACUAUUUACUGUAUGGUGUAAUAAUUGGAGAGGAUUGACCUAAAAUUUACCUUUUAGUUACAUCGUCAAGUGUAAAGUAUAUUGUGCAUUAUAUAUAGGUCAAAAUGAAUACAUUUUGUUGUAGGAGGGAGAUGAUCAUGGGUACCUAAGAUUCCAAACUUAGUGGUUUUUUAGGGAUCAGGAUCCUCUCCUGAGCUAAGGAUGAGGAUCCUUCUGACUAAGAAGUGUGGGCCGUUGGAUGAAAAUUCAACGACUAUAAUUAUUAUAACUUUAAAGGGACCCCCUAUUUGUAGCCGUUGGAUUUUCAUCCAACGGCCCACACUCCUUGGUCAGGAGGAUCCUCAUCCUUAGCUCAAGAGAGGAUCCUGAUCCGUUUUGUAGGACCCCUUCAUCAACUGAACAAGGUUGUCCAUUAAGCUUGUUACUGAGUUUGUCCAUUAAGCUUGUUACUGAGUUUGUCCAUUAAGCUUUAGUUUAAAUGCUUAGAUCUUUUUUAACUGGUCAAUUUUUAUUCACAAAUAGUCAAAUACAAAUCCUGUGAAGUUCAUUAUAGCAUCAUUCAAUCAAUGGAGUGGUAAAAUUUAACGGAAUUAAGCUAGCUCUUUAGCUGGGGACAGUAAUAUAAAUGGUAUUGAUUAUAUGUUGUUGUCGUUGUGAUAUUUCAUACUAAGUAUACAAAAUCAUGUAGAGAUAUAUAAAACUUACACGUAUGUCAUGAUAUCAUUUCAUUGACACAUGACACUACGGCCAACAAUAUACCCCUAAGUACUUCUACAAACUAACUGGUUGGCUCACGUAUCAUGGGACCUUGUUGCAGAUCCUCGCUUACUAUAUUCAAUUUUGUUAUAUCUUGAUACGUUCCUCUAAAAUGAAAGACUCCCACAUAGUCCAAUAGAAAACCUAUUUCCACAUUACAAACUGUUCAUUAAUAUGUUGGAGCUUACACUUUUUUUUUCUUCGAAAUCUCGAGCAUUAUUCAUUUACUACAACCAACGUAUUUCUUAAUGCCUAGUCAUUCAUUUACUACUAGUCUUAAGCUGAAGUUAGCGCAUCAUUUUGAAAAUUCAACUGAAGAAAGCAAAUUUGAACCUAGUAAAUCGAGCUUGAGAGAUGCCUAAAAAUAAUUUACUCUAAUACCAUCAUAAAACUCUUUAGGUCCUAGGUGGCCUACGACCAACAUUAUAACCCAAUUUAACCAUCCUAGGUCAAAACAAGUUGAUAAGAUCUUCGUUUUUAAGUUUCGUGUCCCUUCCAUGUGACGACGUAGAGAUGUCAAAAAAAAAAAAAAAAAAAAAAGAGAAGGAAAAGGCUAUUUCCAACCGAAGGCUGGCCAGAUGGCUCGUUUUAACCCUCUAGCCCUCCAAGAUAUUAAUAUUUUAAUGAACAAUACAUGGCAAUAUUUAGCCUUGUCACACAAAAUCGUCUCCAACUGAGGGCCAAAGGGUCAUAAGGUCAAACAUAAUUUAUUAUUUAAAAACUACAACUUAAAUUCAAAUCCAACGGCUAAGUGACGUUAGCUAGCCAUUGGAUUUGAAUUUUUUUUUUUGUUGCUAUAAAUAGGGUGGAUGUUGGGCUAUAAUUCAAAAAACUUCGAAUUCAAUCCAUUUCAAUUCAAUCUCUUUCAAUUCAAGUUUGCAAUGAAUUCUAACUUUGGGUCCUCUUUGGAUUCCAACUGGGGGUCCUCAUCCAAAUCCAAACUGGAAGAAAAAUUGGCGCAGAUGAAACAAGAAGAUGAAGAGUCUAAUGAAGAAGCUGAAGUAAGGCACAACAAACAAAACAAGUAGUAGCCAUGGUUGCAACCAUGGUGUGUCAGCCAACUGAGGAACAACCUUAAUGGGGUGGCUUUGUUGCUGGUCACUCUUACAAACCACAAAACAGAGUGAUGACAUAUGCCAAUCUGAUGAACAACUACUUCAACCCCAACUCGGUGUACACAAAAGAGGAUUUCAGAAGUCGCUUCCGGAUGAGGUGUUAUGUCUUUGAGCGUUUGCUUUGUGAUGUCUAGCAGGUCAAUCAUGUUGGGUUUUUACGGCUCAAAAUUAGGAUGAUGCAAAGAAUUAGGUUUGUGUUACCUAUUUGGUUUUGGUGUCCUAUUUGGGUUUGGAUUUUGACUUCUUGGUUUCCUUGGUGGAGAGAUUUUGUUAAUUACCUAUUUGAUUAGGAUUUGGAUUUACUUCAUAUUAGGAUUCUUAUUGUAACCUAAGUCAUAUGCACUAUAAAUAGGACAUUAGGGUUAGUGUAUUUUGUGUGGCUCAUUCGUGUGACAAUUUAGUGAGAGUCAAUUUGUGAGUUUGUGAGUUAAAGAGCAAUUUGGGAGAAUCUUCUCCGUUUGUUUGAGUUCUCUACUCGUUUGGUUUAGGGUUUGUAAUUUGUGGGAUUUGGGUUGUGAGAGUUUAAACACUCAUUUGUAAUCUCCGUUUAUUUAGUGAAAUUCUUUGCCGUGCUUCGUCCAUGGAGUAGGCUUUACGCCAAACCACGUAAAUCUCUUGUGUUAGUUUGAGAUUGUUUGUUUUAGCUUUCACCUAAGACGUUGAUAUUUGGUACUUUGUUAUAAUUCGCUUCCGUUUAAGCAUAAAAGUACAACAAAUCCAUACUUUCGACAUAAGCGGGACAUAGCAGGCCGUCCUGGUUUCUCACCUCAUCAGAAGGUUACUGUUGCACUAUGAAUGAUAACCUAUGGCUCCCCAAUUGAUUCGAUGGAUGAAACCCAUGGUAUGUCUGAGUCUACAUACCUUGAUACUCUUACUGAAUUAUGUGACACAAUUGUUCAGCUUUACAAAGACGAAUACCUCCGCGAGCCAAAUUAAGAAUAUCUGGAUUGGCUCAUUCGCAAAGCUGAAAACCAUGGGUUUUCGGGCGUUAUAGGGUCAUUAGACUACUUGCAUUGGGAUUGGAAGAACUGUCCCACUAGAUGGCAAGAAGGCUUUUGCAGAAGGUCGAGAAAGCCAACUGUUGUGUUAAAGGCGAUUGCCUCGUAUGACACAUGGAUUUGGCAUGCUUUCUUUGGAGUCCAUGGAUCCCAAAAUGACAUUACAGUUCUUGGGCUUUCACCCCUUUUCAAUACCCUGACGGAAGGUAAAGCACCUCAACUUGACUACUACAUCAAUGACCUUCAGUACAAUAUGGGGUAUUACUUGGCAGAUGACAUCUACUCGAAGUGGGCGACACUUGUCAAAGCAAUUCUAAACCCUCGGAAUGACGCCGGAAAUUUGUUUACCUUACACCAAGAGGCAUAUCGAAAAGAUGUUGAGAGAGCUUUCAGUAUUCUACAAGCACGAUGAAAGAUUAUCAGCGAACCGGUAAGAGGGUGGAGUUGAGAAAAUUUGGACUACAUCAUGAUGUCUUGCAUCAUAUUACACAAUAUGAUUGUGGAGGAUGAGCAAGAUAGGUAUAUUGAUGGAGAGUCCGAUGACGACCAAGACGAUCCAAAUGGGUCAAGAAGGGCUUGUGCAAAAAUAUAUGAGGAGCCUAAUUUGCCUUUCAAUCCAAGAAUUAGUAGUAUAUCUGUAAAUGAUCACAUGAGGCUAUAGAAUGAUACGUUUCCGUGCCACAAACAAGUACCUACAAUAUGAUCUUGUUGCACAUCUUUGGGCAAAAAAUAGCAUGGAAUAAGCGUUUAAGUUUUAUGUUGUUAAAUGUUUUUAAAAAUGUUGUUUAAGUUUCAUGUUGUUAAAUGUUUUUAUUUAUGUUGUAUAAUUUUCAUGUUGUUUAAUGUUAUUUAAUGUUGAUUAAUAUUGUCUAAUGUUGUUUAAUAUUGUCUAAUAUUGUCUAAUGUUGUUUAAUAUUAUCUAAUAUUGUUUCAUGUUACUUAAUGUUGUUUCAUGUUACUUAAUAUUAUGUAAUGUUUAAUGGUUUAGGAAGUUAUAGGGGAAAAAAAAGAAUUUUUAAAUUAUUUAAACAAAUUUUGUAAAAAAAAAAUUUGAAAAUAACGGCUAGCCGUUGGGUUUUUGAAAUCUGGCCCGGAACCAGCUGACUGGCUCAUUUGGGCCAGCCGGUUAACCUUUUGGUCCUUUUUUGUCCAGUGGGGCCCACGAUCCCUCUGACCUGGUCCUCAGUUGGAGACUGUUUUCGCGUUGUUUUGUAUUCUCUGACCCUCUAGAUCAUUCGAUUGGAGAUGGUUUAAAGUAGCAGGUCCCCAACAAAAGGCCGCACGAUGGCCUAUUAAUUGGUGCAGAGUUUUAUAAUACAAAACCUCGAUAACAUUAGUAAUUAUUCUACCACUUAUAAGUUAAUCUACUCAGCAUUUGCUCUACUAAAUACGUACGUCCAGUCACCCCUCCCCCCCUCUCAAAAAGGAUAAUCGACAUUAUCCUCCAAGAUAAACGGGAUAUGGGUGAUCGUAUGCCUUAAGAUAAAAAGAGCAAUACUUAUUCAAAGCUGUGUUUAUAAUAUCAGUAUUAGUAAAAACAUUGAUAUUUAAAUUUGUGAAAAUAUCGUUAGAUAUAUCGAAUAUGGAUAUUGCUAUUGGUCUCAAUAGAAAUGAAGGAAAUUUAAAAUGAAAUUUUAGAAAUUACCAAACACGAGUUUGAACGAAAUAUAAAAGUCUUUCUAAUAUUUAACAAAUGUGUCAAAAAAUAUCUAUCAAUUUUAGUCUAAACUCAAACAUUUCUCCCAUAUAAAAUGAAGUGAAGUUCAGAUUUUACCCUCAAUUUAAAUUUUCAAUCAUAUUAAAGAAAUUUUAAAUAUUAAUUCUAGGCUACAGUAGCAAAUAAAAUUUACCACGUAACCGUCGUAUUAUCCCAUUUCUCUCUCUGUCCAUUCUCUCGUAAAGUAAAGGAAGAUUUUCGAAAAACACAAAGUAAAAGGUGUUUUGUUUCCUUUUCAUUUUAGUGAUUUUCCUUCCUUAAACACCUCAGAAAAGACGAGAGAGAGAGAGAGGUGACGUAUCUUAUUGGACUUGUAGUGUAGGGCAUCAGAAACGAGGGAGGGAUGGGAAGGGAGCUGGUAUGGGAUGGGGUGAAGAAAGAGAAAUUUUUAGUUGUGACAGGAACACAAAUGAUACAUUAUGUGUUUUUCUAUAAGUGGUAAAAAUUUUAAUUUUUAAGUUAUUAACCUUUUAUCACACAGAAUCUACUAUUUAUAUAAGAACACGUGGUAUACCACCUCAGGUGAUCGUCACAUUGAAAAAUCUAUGGUGAAGAAGGAGAAAUUUUUUAGUUUGUCAGGCUAGCACAUUAAACAUCAUUAUAUAAGUGGUUAAAAAGAUUUUCUCAAGUAUACAAUCAUGAAAUUUUUUAUUUUUUUUUUGAAGUAUCUAAUAAUUUGAAUUAUAACACUUAGUUUACCUGAUUGUAUUUUGAUACACUAAAAAAUCUCUCAGUGAAAAAGGGAUUUAAUUGGGUGUGAGCGAGGACAGGAAGGCAGGCAAGAAAAGAGUGAAGGGGAGGGUUUCAUCAGAACCGAGGGAGGGGGAAAAGUGGGGAGAAGAAUAAGUAUGAUGAUGAUACAUGAUAGGGUUUGAUAUCCAUCCUUCGUAAAAUAUGCCUCCUGUAGCCUUCCCUCUACGAGUAGGAUUCCAACCAUCCGUCGAUUCUGUUCAGAUUUCUUCUCUGCUGUCUUCUCUUCUCAUUUUCUUUUUGACCUAACUUACCCCUCUCUCUCUCUCUCUCUCUCUCUCUCUCUGUGAAAAGAGUACUGAAACCUAUCUCUCAAUAAAUUAAUUACACCGACAACCUCCCAUCCCAUUUAUUGUGAGUACGUAAUAAAAUAAAUAGAACCAUCUGCCUCUCCUAACCCUAAUAAGCCUUCACUCCUCUCCAAUAUAUACGUACGUUAUCGCUGUCCAUCUCUAUCUGUUUCUGUGUUAGAAGAAUUGUAUGCGUGGGUCUCGUAGCUAGCUCUGUAAACGUGGAUGAUCACGUGGGUUUCGCAAAGCGUUUCUUACAGAGUUCUUUGGCAUUCUGUCCACCUCCUCUUUCUUCGAUCUCUUUCUCCCUCUCUUGCUGUGUAUGUAUGUGGUUUAAUGGAUGGAGGUGGGCAUACUGCCAACAGAGUUCUGUUGGAUUCUCUUUGUAAAACCCUCGUGAGUGUAUAUAUGUAUCGUUACGCAGUACUCGAUCCUCCUCAAGACACAAGGGUAAGAACUAUUCAUCUGCAACGGCAUCAGUUUCUGGUGGUGCUGCUAAUCCUGAUUCCCCAGUUCAUUACAUUUCCCUAUUUUGUACAAAUCAGAUGUUUUUUUUUCAUCCCAUAAUUUAUUGGUCUGUUAAUUUGCAGGGUCCAAGAAUUAUGUUGCCUGUUGAGCACUCUUGAACAGCGCAACCAUCACCAGUGUACUCUUGAAAUUUGUUUCUCUUUGACCAAUUACACUUCAUUUUGUGCCUGUUGAGCACUCUUGAAAUUUGUUUCUUUUUAAUAAUUGAUUGGUGCCGCGACUGCUGAUGAUUGGGAAGUAGCUAGCUAAUGGAGCCCUAGUUUCCGAUUGUGUUUUGCUUACUUGUGUAGAUAUAUACCCAAUUUCUGAAAUCUUUAGUUUCUUACCUCAUCAAUGAGGGGAUCAAUCUUUUACACAUCCCUGUUUACUUCUCACACACCCUUUUAAAUUUUCAGCCGUCGGAUCAGAUAAAUUGAAGAAGAUUAACGGCGAAAAAUUAACAAAGGUGUGAGAAAUAAAAAAAUGUGUGUGGAUAAUAUCCCCUUAAGGUUUUCUGAGCCUAUUUCUGUUUGUUCUUUGUUUUUUACUAGGGGGCGGGACAGAGGGGCUCAAACAACAUAACGAAAUCAAUUAACCUAUAGCUAGGGUUAUCAACUCCUAAGAGAUCAUAUGGGAGGAAGCCAAGGAAGCAGGAUGAGGGAGGUCAAAGACUCUAAACAAAGGUAGCAUUUGAUGAUGGACAAGAAACAUCAUUAGAACGCUGUCAGAACAAAAGUGAUGGCUAAGGCUUCCUCAAGUGUUGUUAUCUUUGACAUUAAUGCUAUCUUUAUUAGCAGUGAUUCCUGUUUCUUUUCUUUUCUUUUCUGAUGUGUAAUGAUGCUGAUUACAAGAUUAAAUCAAUACCAAUACAAAGCGGUAUAUUAGUGAUCAUGGCAUGCAUGCAUGCCUGCCACAGUUGUGUUUAGUGUCAGUGAUUUGUGUUUUAAUUAUGGUUUUCUGGUGGACCAACGUCUUUUAAUGUCACGACCGAUGAGGCCAUUGCAGCCCUACCACUUACUCAAGUCGAGAAGAAGGAGAAUGCGUUUCUACUGUCUGAUAUCUUCCACUCUUCUCCCCCAAGGCCUGUACCUAUUGCCAUAAUACCUACUUAGCAACGUAGGGUUAUGAUUGAACCACUGACGAUGCCAAUAAAUAACGCAGGGAAGAAACAUCAUCCCACACACCCCUCUCUUGGCUCGUUCGUGAUUGACGGUUAAUUACCAUAUAACUUGGGUGAUGGGUGAUAUUUAUCACCACUCACAUUUCUUCGACUUGUUUUGGAGAGUCUCUAUAACGUCGUUAUAAACGAAUGGGGGUGGACUACUUUCAACUGGUUGAAGGCAAAAACGGAAAAGGAGAAGAAAUGAUUAAUGCGAGCCUCCUAUAUACCUAAUUAAUUUUGAAUAAACGCCAUGCAAAAUUGAAUAAUUAGUGUUUUCUGGAGUGGAGCGGGAUCGCUUUCCGCUGUGGUGGGCCGGUGGCCACAAUCCUUUGUUGGCUAUAUGCCCCUCAACGCCUUACCUGCUUACCACUCACAUGCACGUUACAUCACGAGCUCAGUCAAUAUUCCUUCGUUUUAUUCAAAGAGUAAUCUUUCUUCCGUUGACCUGAAUCCCAGGGCAACUGUGACCCGGGGUAUUUUCUACCUCUACAUAUGUAGAAGACAACGUGAAAAAAUAAGGAAAAUUACCAUGUUCUGCAAGGCUGCAAGUGAUGAAAAGGGAAUCCGUAAACUAGCAAAAAGGAAAUCUGCAGUUUCACUUCACUCGCAUAAGAUAUUAAGAAAAAUUAAUGAAAAAAGUUUGAAAACUUUUUGUUUUAACGAUAAUGACAAAAUAAAUGGUAAAGUGAAUAGUACUAAUAUUGACUUUUUAGUAUAAAAAUAUAAUUUUUCGUUAAAAUAAACAAUACAGAGAGCUUUUCGUUAAAGUUCAUAAGAUAUUAUUAUUUGUCUUCAUGAUUGAUGAAAGCACGUUUAAUCCCUUCAUCUGUUCAAGGAAAAGCAUUGGAACGAGAACCGCCACCAUCACCAUUGCCACGGUUUACAAUAAAGUUUUGAAAAGAAGAAAGGUUUUUAAUUAAUAGAUUAAAACUCCUCAUGAACCUAUAUAAGUACUGCCCACAGAGACAAAUGAUGUUGAUUGUUGAAAUCUAUCCUUUAGUUUAGACAUGAUGAUUUCUCACAUCUCUGUAAACCCAUUAAAUACAAACAAGUCAGUAUUUGUAAUCCAAAAAAAAAAGUGAUAGAUUUACAUAUAUCAGUCUUGUACAAUAAAAAGCGCAAAACAAGUGCACUCAAUGGUUAUAUGUUACAUCACCGUUCAAGGGUCGUUGUUCUAAAAAAAAAACUUUAUAGUUGUCUAAAUAUUUAGAAAUUGCUAGACAAAACAAAAAUGAAAAUAAGUAAAAUCAAGUAGGUAACCCAAUUAAUUUAACCAAACAGAGACUAUACUAGUGUACCAUCUCAAGUGUCAAGUGACUCAUACAAGUAAUAUUCAAUAAGAUAAAUUCAUUAAUUUACGUGACAAGUACACAUCACUUGUCAUGUUAUAUGAUAUACCAAUAUUAUUACCAUCUGCAUCUAGUAUUUGGUUAUUGUGAAUUAUAAUUGUGAUAUCGGUGUCUUGCACAUUAUUAUAUUUGGUGGAACUCUUUUUACCAAAAGAAUUGUGCUCUUUUCACUAAAGAAUUGUAUGAUUGCAUUACAUAUUUGUGUCCAUAUGGGGGUGGGGUUGGCAUCAUAUAUUCUCUCACGGGACCAAGUUAACUUUCUCUUCGUUUUUACUAUAAAAUUGGAUGAUUGCUUUUAUCGUUUCAUGUCCAAGUACAUAGGGUGGAGGAUGUCAAAGAUGAGGAAGUGGAUUCUCAUCCUAUUUGGUGUAAACAAGUAUUAGCAACCGUGGGAAGCAUUGAGCCGCCAGUCAGUUCCCAGUGCGUAGAAUAAAUGUUGUUUCGUCUUAUAAGUAGAAGCUACAUCCAUAAUUAAUCUUUCUAAGUUACUUGUUCCAAACAGCAUAUCUGUGGCCGCUGGUUGCCAGUGUCCACUCCCUACUGGCCGGGCACCAUGAACCAUCCCCAAUUUUCAUGCAGAUUUUCUCCCCUAUUAUAGCAGAGUAGAGGUUCGGCUGGGCCUCCAGGAUCGUAAUAGAUGAUCGGCUGUGAAUGUCUUGACGCUUCCUGAUGUCAAUCUGCAGACAAGUGCCAAUGCUAACAAAUGAGAAACGUUUGUUCAAAAAGCAUCAAGUCCAAAAAGGGAACUGCCUAUGGCCGUAUACUGCAUACCAGUUUCACAAUCUGAUCAUGAAUGGAGUCACCCCAAUCAUAGAAAUGAUCGUAGAAAACUGUUGGUAUUCCUGGGUGCAUGAGUAUGUAUGCGUAACCCUGCGGAAAGCAUUGACGUGGAAGUUAGCGAACUUGCACUCCAAUUUUUAGGUAGGUAAUAAGAAUUAUUCCCAUAUUAAUUAGAAUAUAGCAGCUGCCAGCAAUAACAACAAUGACAAGAAUAUUAUGCAUCUGGAUUUCCCAUCUAAAUGCAAAGCAUUUGAACUUAAUAAACAAGUUUUCGUACCUCCAUAAUAUGAUUUGAAGGGAAGGGCCAAUGAGCCUGCAAGACAAAAUGAUUAUAAUGUGAGUGGAUUUCCUACUUUCACUAUGGAGCCAAAAGGUCACUUUCUGAAAUGAUAGGUACCACAGUAACAUAAAUGAGAUACUUUUGUAUGCAGUGAAAAUGUAGUUUUAUACAGAGAAAGUAUUAAUCAGGGUUGUUUAGGCCCAAACUUGACCUGUUCAGCCCAAAAGAUUGUAAGUCUAAGUUCUCACUUCUCAAUGAUAUUUACUUCAGCAGAACAGAAUAGCAAUCGUACCUGUGUUGAGCCUGUAUCAUGGUUAUCAAGGAAUGUGACAGCUCUCGACGGCCACCAUCCAAUUAAACCUGGUGGCUUCCCUUGGGGGUCACGCAGGCGCCACAAUUGUCCUUUAACAGCUUCCUGCAAUGAAUGCAUGGAUAAAUGUCCAAACACCAAACAAGAAAAUAGGAAGGGGCGGUGGCAACCGGAAGAAAAAGGAAAGGGAAAUGGUAUUCGUUGAUGAAGAGAUAUUUUGAUGAGUAUGGACGUUAUUACAAUCUAGAAAAAAGGUGGCCAGUACUACGGAUACAGCAGACGGAACAGACUUGGAAGGGGUACUAGUAUUCAUAGAAUCAUAGGUGAAGAGAGAUUUUGAUGAAGAUUGCUACAUGUUUUCUUUUCUGAUAUAUAAUAAAAAGGUUCACCAGUACAUGUUUUCUUAUAUAUAAAGGGUUCACCAGGACUCAUUAUUCGUGAUUGCAGACGUCCAUUCUUAACAAACUGUUAUGUAUGUGUGUUAAGGGAUGGGCUGCAGUUGGAUAUGCCAGUUUGUUUGCAAAUGGAAGAUACCUGAAGAAUUCCCUUGGUUGUGAAGUCAAACGCAGUUGAUAGCUGUCCAGUGCCAUUGAUCCAAUUUACUAUCCGCUGUCUGUGGCUAUCUGCAUAACAUUACCAAUCAUGAUAAAGAUCAAACAGUCAGCUCAAUGCUAAAUCCUCAGUAGAAAGAGAUUUGAUCACUGAACCCAUUUAAGACAGCAAAUUACAAUACAGGUCAAAUGGAAGGGCAAAAAGGAAUGCUAUCAACAGGGAUAAGCUACCCUUUAUACGGUAGUAUGCAGUGUCAAACUUAUUAAGUUCUUCAAGCCCAAUACCCUGCACAUCUCAAAACCAUAUAAUCCAAUACCUUGGUUGUAAUCCAGGCCAUGAUCGUUAUAGUUGCAAGAGUCCCAAUACUCCCCAACAGAAAAAAUUGGUUUUGCUCCUUCAAUGUAUUCUUUCACAUAUUUUGCUGAAUAACUAUUGUAACAUUGAAAACACGUAAUGGCCAAUUAAAUCAAAGACAAGGAAAAAAGAGUAAGCAGUGAAUAAACCCAGUUACAAACGAAACGAAACUCAAUUUUAUGCAUGUAUAUGUCUUACCCCCUUGCAAAAUCAAAUCGGAAAUCCUGAAAACCAACAUUAUUACGUAGCCACUGCAGCCAUCCUGUAAUAUCUUUUCGAACAAAAGGUUGGCUAUGAUCAAUAUUCGGAACCCCAUGGAAAUUGUCACCAGUACUUCGAUUACCCUGAUAUAUAAAAUACAGAGAAAAACAAUGAGCUUAACAGACAUUGCAUCAUGAAUCAUGCAGAGUCAUUCAAGCAGUGACAGAUUUCAUUACCAGUCCACCGGUACAAGAUGUGACGCACGUUUCAUCCCAUGACAAUGAAUUCCAUCAUAGCGGUGUACAUUCCACCAUGCCUCGGUAGUCCCAACACGAUGAUUGAUAACAAUGAUCAGCCAUUGCUCUAAACUUAUGUUGCUUUCAUUUUUUGAAGUAGAUUUAUAAGUUCUCGGAUCAUAUUAGAAUUGAGGGAAUAUGAUGGAGGUAACCUACAAUAAGAGAAAUAAGAAAAAAACAUGGAUGGUCCAAUCAAUCCUAUAUGCAGAGAAAUAAGAAACCAGCCUAGAAAAUUUGUGCAAUCAACCUUCUGUGCAAAGGAUUGAGUGCUGGUGCACCAUGCUGACGUAAAACCAGAUCUUCUAUUCCGGAACUUUUUGUUUCUAAAUUUCCCAGAAAAUCAUGUUUAUGAGACUCCCAAUUGAAGGCCUGUAGAUAUAGUUCAGUCAAACCAUAUUCUUGAUUAAGCUGAGAGCUAUAUUAGCUUUAAUGCAACCAAAACAAUUUACCAUCAUUACAGUAUUAAGUAAAUAAAAAAAAGUUUGAAACAUACAGCUGCGACCGUUUUACUUAUCCAACAAUACAGAACACCGCGGUUUAAUCACUUCAACUAUAUAUUUUAUGUAUAAAAUGGCUCCGACAAGUUGUUGUACAUAUGUAGUAUAUAUAUGGAAACUGUCAAAUUUACCUGAAAAAGGAUUUCUCUUCCAUUGCGCACUGCUGCACCUGCAAAUGAAUCCGAAAGCAUACUUUAGUGUCAAGAAAAGGAAGAUACGUAAAAUGUUCUCAAUGAACCAAGCAUUCUAAUGUCAGAAAAUACCACAUUUAUAUGAACACAAGAUAACUAGAGAGCUUAAUCUAUGCCUAUUCAACAUGUGCAGUUAUAAUUCUUAAUGUUCGUGAUUGAAAUUUCCAAAUUCACAAGAGAAAGUACGAUCUGCCUUUUCAUACGGCCUAUUUGAAUCCCUUAUCCCCUUUAAUCACAGAGAAUUAAUGGAAAGCAUCACCGGGCAAAAGCAAAAGCAUACCAAUAUCAUUCUGCUGCGCGUUUUCUCGUGAAUCCUGCAUUUUAUCAAAAUGGAAAAUUAGAGAAAGGAAGUCCUCUACUCUUGUGUAUGUGUGUGAAUGAGUGAGAGAGAUUGAGAAGGCGUGUAUACAUUGCUGCGUAGGUAACCCAUUCGACUCAGGAUGUAGUUUCCCAACUCGGCACCGGAUUGCAAAUAAGGCACCAACAGUUAAUCCUACAUGGAUGAACAACAUGAGUGCACCAAAACAUUGGCCAGAUGACCAUAAAGCUAUAAAAUCACAAUUGACUAGCACAAAAAAUAGAGGAGAAGACAUUAAAAUCUUGCUGAUGAUAAACGUUCAUCCGUUUCGUCUCAUAUUUCGCGAGAACAAAGUCAUACAGGUUAAAAUUAAUAAAACCCAACACGAAUGUAAGCACAAGUGUAUUUAAUUUGCUCAACUACAAGUCUACAACUAGAAGAUGAUUCCAUGAGCUUGAAAUGUGAAAAAAUGCAGGGCUUCGGACCUUUUACGCAUUCUUAAAUUCUUAAUAACGAAUUUCAAGGGGGAGAAAAUUGAGACGUACCGAAGGCUCUACGGCUGGCUGCGAAUGCGGUUGUGGGUUUGUGGUUGUGCCGUUGGGCAACAUAAAUAGCACAAACAAAAAGCAGAAAAUUCGAGGGAGACCACCGAAUUCGAAUCACGCCGACGAACGACACAAGUUGAAAAGGUGAAAAGAGAAUAUUGAAAGCUGUGCUGUAAAAGGAAGAAAAAGGAUUCGAUUGCGAAACGCGAUGGAGGGAAGGGAGACAAGGAUUGAAGGGAAUGUUCAUACUCCCGAGGCCGCUCUCAUGCCUCAUGCUGCAGACUGCAACAUGAACCGUAGAAACGAUGUACGGAUACAUUGAAACGUGGCAUUUCACUAUAGACUUAUAGGGGGGAGGGCGUUUGUUGCGUCGGUCUAUCUCGUACUUGACUAGCUUCAAGGAUUAAGUUGGACUGGCUUAGACUAGACUAAGCUGAACUAACUUAAUGAAGCGUUUGGUGCAGUGUUGGACUAAAAAACUGAAUAAUAACAAAUUCUAUAUUAUUUAUUAAUAUAUAAAUUAUUAAUGAUUUAUUAAAUCUAGGUAACCGGAGAUGACGGGGGAGUCUAUCGGAAUGGUCGUUGAGCAUGACGAGGUCGAAGAUGAUAGCCUUAGCAGUCCAUGGUUAUUGGGGGGUCUCGUAAGACUCUUUCAGGGUUUUGUCUUUAUGCUAGUCCGCCUUUGUAAAUCAUUGUAUCCCAGCAUGGAACAAAUUACAGUAAUUGGACUACAGCUAUACCAGUCCAGUCAUUAAACGCCCCCGGAGAGGCGUAAGAAAAAGUAACUUAACUUGGGGCUUAUAUUUUCCUUCCAAUCUUGGCCUAUCUUCGGCCCAACCGAAAAAAAAAGGCACCCACCAAUGGCGCGUACGGGCUCUGCGAUGACUUCGAAACUUACGCCAAUUGCUCGCUGAUUCGCACAGCAAUUCAAGGGCCACUUCAGGGCACCCCAGUAAUUCAAGCCAAAACAAAAAUAAGAAAUUCAAAGGGAAAAUUGAAGACGUACGGAAGGCUCACGGCUGGCUGCGAUUGCGGUUGUGGUUUGUUGGUUGUGCGUGGGCACAUAAAUUAGCACAAACAAACUUGAAGAAAUUCGAGAGACACCGAAUUCGAACACAACGAGAACGACACAGUUGAAAGGUGAAAAGAGAAUAUGAAAGCUGUGCUGUAAAAGAAAAAGGAUUGAAUUGUCGAGCGAUUGAGGGCAGGGAGACAAAGGAUUGGAGGAAUGUUCGAUACUCCCCGAAGGCCGCUCUCCAUUCCUACUCACUUGUCAGCAAACCAUUACCGUAGCACAGGACAUAACUUGAACGCAAGAGUAAAGACUUAUACUGAUUUGUUGCGACGGUCAUUCGUAUUGAAGCGUAGGAUUAAGGGAGGGGCUUCUGUUCGGCUAACUUAAUAGCUUGUCAGUAGUGGACUAGAAAUAUAAUAAGAAUUCUAAUAUUAUAUUAUUUAAUAUAAUAAUUUUAUAUUUUUUAUAAUCUAGGUAACCGAAGAUGACGAGAGUCUAUCGGGAAUGGUCGUUGGAGCAGACGAGUCGAGAAGAUGAUAGUCUUAGCUAGUUCAUGGUUAUUGGGGGGGUCUCGCUAAGACCUGUUUAGGAAGAUUUUGUCCAUGCUAGUACCUUUAGUCUCAUCAGAUGUUAGUUUCCAAGUAAGGCAAAUGAGUCAGUAUUGAACUACAGCUAGUCCAGUCUAGUCCAGUUAAACGCCCCCUGGAGAUGGCGUAAGACCUAUAACUUUAGGCCUUGGGCCUUAGUAUUUCCCUUUCCAAUCUGGGCCUAUCUUCGGCCCAACCGAAACAGAAGGACCCACCAAUGCGCGUGGGCCUGCGAGACUGACUUCGAACUUCCCAAGUUCGCUCGCAUGAUUCGCACAGCAAAUUCAAGGGCCACUUUCAGGGGCACCCCAGUAAUUAAGCCAAAACAAAUUAGCAAAGUAAAACAUGGUCUCGUUCUAGGGUUUUAUCGGGGUACAGAGAAAACUGCAAGUUUGCAAGAUGCCUACUUCCUGUUAAUUGAAAUGGAGUGUCCUCCACCAACGUUAACAAGCCCCACUCACAUCACUGACAAUCCAGAUACGAAACCCACUAGGUCACCGCCGUCGCCGUGGCCACAAGAGCCCGACCCCAAGAAGCUCAAAAUGUCCACCCACCACCUGACGGACGAAGAAGCAACCCGGCGGGGACCUAACGCGCUAAAACGCCACGAAAGCGCCGAAGAAUAUCUUCGCAUCCGAACAGAACUGCAAAAUCCCGCCAAAACAUAAAGGGACCGAAAAGCAUACCACUUUCAUAAGCCGGUUUUAGCGACCGCAACACCUGAAGAGAGGGCCCGCUUCCAGCACCGAUAAAGGGGGAGGCCUUCCAGGUGUUCUCUUACCUUUUAUGUCGAUCGCGGGUUCAUGACCAGCAAUUCAAAGCGCGUUUCUCCUCAGAUUCGGAUUUUCGGCUACAAACGCGUCACGGCGUCGUUUAACGCGAAGAAGUUCUGUGAUCGGAGAAGGUAUGUGUAUCUGAUUCCCGUAUUUGCUCUUGAUCCUUCUGCUCAUCGCGAUAGAGGGAGCGUGUUGGCUAGUCUUGGGUCUGAUCAGAGUUGUUAAGUUGCUUGGAUGCUCGAAAGGGCAUAAGUCGGGGCUUGAGUAAGCGCACGUAUGAAUUGAGAGGUACGAAUUUUGAGGUAAGCAUUUCGUCCAACACCAAUGAGUCUAUGGUUGAAUCUGAAAUUGGUGAAAAAUUAAGGGUUCUUCCCGGAAAUGCUGGCUGUGAUAAUUUGAUUUCUGAGACCAGAAAUGAAGUUAGCUUAGAAUUAAUGAAGAAAUUAGGUUCUUACGGAGAAUGCUGGGGUUGAUAAUUCGAAUUCUGAACUCAAAACUGAAAUUAGCAUUAGUAUUAAUAACAAUGAGGUUACUGAAAUUGAGGUUGAGAAUAAUCGAGUGGUCCCCAAUGAGGCAGAGGCUGCUGAUUUGAAUUCGGAGUCACUAGAUGAUACGAAUGUUAGUUUUGGUGAAGAGAAGGCUAAUGAAAAAGAGAAUACAGAGGAAGGAAGUGGAAAAGGAAAUGGGUUUUGUUAUGGUGAGAAGGAGAGGGAAAGGUUCAACAAAAUUUUGAAUAGUUAUGAGGGGACUCAUAACUUCCACAACUUCACCACCAGAACUAAAGCGGUAGACCCGCUGCUCAGCGCUACAUUAUUUCAUUCAAUGCGAACACCACGGUUACAGUUGAGGGUAUGGAAUUCGUUAAGUGUGAGGUUGUGGGGCAGAGCUUCAUGCUUCAUCAGAUUAGGAAGAUGAUCGGGCUUGCGGGCAUCUUUCAGGAGUGCCCAGAAGUCAUGUUCGAAAGAGCAUUGCAAAAGUAAGUAUUUGGAUGAUCAUAGUAUGUUUGUGUAUGCUUUUUGUUUUUUUGAUUUUGAGAAAGUAUGUAUGUUUAACUGAGUUUUUUAUGCACAAAAAUUCAGGGAUGUUAACAUCAAUGUGCCGACAGCUCCUGAAGUUGGAUUGUACUUGGAUGAGUGCUUCUUUUCGUCAUAUAACCAGAAAUGGGGAGACAGUCAUGAAGAGCUGUCAAUGAAAGGCUAUGAACAAGAGGCAGAAGACUUCAAGAUGAAGCAUAUAUACACUCACAUAGCAUCCACCGAGCAUAAAGAAGGUGUUGUGGGUCUCUGGUUGCACUCCCUCAACCACCGUAACUAUCCGGAUUUAGGUCCUGCUGAGAACAAUGGAAAUACCAGCAACGGAAUAAGUGCUGAUACGGGUAAUGUCGUUGCUGAGUAAGUUUUUUUUUUUUUUUUCCCACAGGGAAUCCGAUUUCUUCAAUGUAUGCCUUUUAUUUCUUCAAUGAAUACAGCAUCUAGCUCUAAUGUCUUUUAGGGAAAACAAAAGAUGUGGCCCAGUUUCAUUCAUGGUUUAGGUUACUUGCUGUGUAAUUCUUCUUAGAGAGGAAUUUAUGAUUACAGAAGGGUUUUAAGAAAGUUGAUUUAUCCCACAGGUUCCUUUCUCUCCUAAUUUUUUUUUGUCCGUGGUUCAUCAUAUCCAUAGCCGAUGGACGUGCAUAUAUUUGUAAGUUGAAAAUUGGGACAUUGACCCUUAAACUAUGGCCAAUUUGUAUCUUUGGCUUCUCAACUUACAUUCCAUUAACAUCAAUAUUUGAAUUUGGCAAAAUGAGGGAUGUUGGUCUUUCACGGGAGAAUUUUCAUCAAAAUGAAGCACGUGAGCCCUUUUUAGAUAAAUGGGGAAACUCAGUGUACACAGAUGUCCCUUAACUUUGACAGAAGAGUUCACAUAGAAUUGAUUAAGAAGUUACAUUAUGGGCCUUGGUUUAACGGCCCAGUUUCACUUCCGAAUUCCAAAUCGAGCGACUUUCCCAAUGGUCCAAUGUCAACUCGAGUGUCGUGAUUCUCGUGAAUAAUUGUUAUAGUUGGAAGGAGAGCCAAAUCUCUGGCGGGGGGCGUCGGGGGUCCUCCGUGUCUACCCGCGAAAAUGGGGGUGGAUUGGACCCAACUACCACCAGAACUCGCCGAAUCAAUCUCCAAAAAGCUCACAAUCUACGCCGACUACCUCCGAUUCCGAGUUGUGUGUCACAGCUGGCGAGCCUCCGUCCCCAAAACCCCGCACCACCUCCCUCCCCAGCUCCCCUGGCUGAUGCUCCCCCAAUCCCAGCCCAACCAAUCCCACCGGGCCUUCUUCAACCUCUCCAACAGCAGAGUCCACUUCCUCCACCUUCCAGAAGCUUCUCACCGCAAGCGUCGCUGCG